GAGCGCCGUACCUGGGCACCAAAGUCACCACCACACUCUCAUCAUCUUCAGCACCCAAAUCCUCCAACAGGUCCGUUAACCCCAACCUUAAACAACUCUUGCUCUUUUCCUUCUGCUUAUGUGGCACACUCACAAAACUCCCAGCAAACUCGCUCUUGUCGGGUCCACUCGGUGCCGCAUCCUCAUCGUCCACGUCAUUCACAUACACAUCAAACUUCACAGCCACAUCUUUGUCAAGCUCAAUCCCCUGAAUCACCAAUAUCUCCUCCUCAUCCUCUUUCUCCUUCUUGCUCCUCUUCUUCGGCUUCGGCCUUGACACCACCGUACUUAUCUUCGUCUCCAAAUUUAUUGGAAAAUCUUUACCCGCCACCACCUUCCCUGAUGACGUCGUCUCAGCGGCCUUCGCCACUCCAGCCGCCUUUGCCUUUCUCGCAAGCUUUGUCCGACGUGGCGUCGGUCUAGACUUGAGCCAUGGAAUCUCAACAUCUUCAUACGUAUACCCUAGCUUUUUAUUAUCAAGAGUGUCCCUCACCGUGACCCUAACAAGCUCAGCAUUCUCGUCAUAAAACAAAAACCCCGUAUCCAACCAAUCCUUAUCGUUAAUAUCUUUAUUUUUAGUCCCUAUACUUUUCCAAAUAUUCCACAUUCGAUCUAUAUUCGAAUGGUGCGAAAAAAAUAUUGGAUCCCUUCCAGCGGAGUAAAAAUUCCCCAUGUCUUCAAAUUAGGUUGCGUGUUAUCUCCGGUCCAUAAAUGAACCGGACCAUGUGGGGUCGUUUCGAUUGAACCGCCCCCUGGAUCUGGUUCAGUGCCAGCCCUGUAGGGCGAACCAAAGAACAACAGCGGUUUCUUGGAGUUGGAAACCAUCUGCCUAUACAUAAUUUUGAGGUUGGCUUCGAUUUGAGCAUCGUUGGACAUUGUUUCAUCCGUGCCGUUGAAGUCAAGAUCGAUGAGAGUCGGCGGCUGAUGGCUGGCAGCGCGAAGCUCGUCGUAAAGCGGAGAGUCCGGGUUAGCGAACAAGGCAGGGAGUUGCAUGCCAGCUGGCGCGUCCCAGUUCCAAAACGGCAACGCGAACGUCGGAUCGUCUAUGAGUUUGGCCAAGAUUCUUUCGUGGAAGUAUAGGUAGUAACGAUGGAAGGGGAAGAAAAGCCAGCAUUGAUGGAUUUGGAGCUCGAGGUUGGGGAAGCCGACUUGGUCGUACGCGCCGUCGCAAUAGGCACAGUGGAGAUCGGCUUGCUGGGUGAAGCUACGCGGAUCGUCGUCCGGGAGGGCUUUCAUGAGCUCGAUGGCUUUUGAAUAUUUUUCGAUGUAGGCUUUAUCCACGGUGUGAGCUGCCGGCCUGACGCGGAGUUUGGUAGGGGAGGGGAAUUUGAAGUCUACGAUUUUUUGGGACGUUGGCGGGCAACAGUUGGUCGGGACUGCUCCACUUGGAAAGUCCGCAGCUCCGCAUUUGGCUAGGUCAGGCGGCGACACUGGCUUUGCAACAGCGAAGGGGUCGCUGCCAAGACCAGCCACUCCACCGUAUAGGCUUCCGAGACCUAUAAGUACAUUUCUUCUGUCUAGGUUUACUGGAGAAGGGUUUUCAUGGUCGUGAUCGUUGGAGCUAGUGGAAGGGUUUUUGUUUUGGUCACUACUAUUAUUUGUGGCUUUGCAUGAGACAGCUUGUAAAUUGGAAUGCCUAGGGUUUCCAAAUGAGGAUAUUCGGUGAUACUUUUGGGAGAAAGGGGAGAGGAAAGUUGUGGGGAUGAUACUUGUGGCGGAGGUGACGAGUGGAGCUGACAUAGAAGCCAUGGUUACUUUUGACUCUGAAUAAUACGUUGUAUUGGCUUUGCUUUUAUAAUGUGUUCUAGGUUGUACUUUUCUUUGCACAGGUGGCAGGCCGUACACACGUGGUCGGUCCUUAAGGGUUUGACGAGGAAUACUACGUAGUCAUUUAGUACAGGACAACCAUACACUAUAGCAAGUGGCAUGUAUUUAGAGAUCGAGAGAGAAUUGGGUAAGGUUCACGAGGGAUUUGUAGUUUCAGAAGGUGAAUUGGUUUUGGUCUUCUUGUGUACCAAUAAUAUUUACUUAGUCAUUUAGUGCAGGACAACCAUGCACUAUAGCAAGUGGCAUGUAUUUAGAGAUCGAGAGAGAAUUGGGUAAGGUUCACGAGGGAUUGUAGUUUCAGAAGGUGAAUUGGUUUUGGUCUUCUUGUGUACCAAUAAUAUUUACUUAGUCAUUUAGUGCAGGACAACCAUGCACUAUAGCAAGUGGCAUGUAUUUAGAGAUCGAGAGAGAAUUGGGUAAGGUUCACGAGGGAUUGUAGUUUCAGAAGGUGAAUUGGUUUUGGUCUUCUUGUGUACGGCUGUGGGUCUGCUGUCCCGGACUCUCUGUCUCAUUUGUGUCUUAUUUUUUAUUUUUUCACACGUGUCUUUUACUUAACGUCAAAUCAUGAUAGCAAUGUUAUGCAAUUGGGAGCUAAACGACCGAUGCUUUUAUUUUUUAGUUUGCUUUUUUUCCAGAUCUGAUCAAAUCAUGAUAGCAAUGUUAUGCAAUUUUCAAGAGGGAAAGAUGCACCUGGGAGAGAAACGGUACGGUGACUUCUAAAUCACCGUCCAACAGAACAAUUCUCAGUAGAGACUACUAGAGAGAGAUGCACCUCACCAAUGAAAAAUUUAACUGCAAAAAUUCUGGGUAUUGGGUAAGGAAAUUCGGUGAUACUUUUGGGAGAAAGGGAAGAGAGAAGUUGUGGGGAUGAUACUUCUCGUGGAGGUGACGAGUGGAGCUGACAUAGAAGCCAUGGUUACUUGACUCUGAAUACUACGUUGUAUUGGGUUUGCAUAUAUAUAUAAUUAGGAUUGAAGGAUGUAGAGCUUAUUUUGUUAUGUAUUUUAACGAUUUAAGUGCUUAUCUUUUAGGUUUUCUCUUAAACAUCAUGUCUAUAAAAAAUCACCAAAAUUCAAACCAUAUGACCAUUAGAUCCAUAGUCAUUUUAGUGUUUAUUUGUAAAAUGUAUUCAUUCAUUUUCUUCACUACAAAUGAGUGAAUUAAUGAUUUUAGAAUUUGUCUAAUUUUUUACAUUGAUUAUUUAUGAAUGUUGAAUUGAAAUUUAGACGAUUCAAAAAUAGUUGAUAUGCAUUACAAAAUGAACUCCACAAAAUAAGUGUCAAAAUAUGUAUAAAAAAUGGACAGCGUGAAUGGCUUGGAAAUUGGAAUAGGUUUGAAAAUUGUGCUUUUUGUAGCAAAUUUUAGCAAAGUUUGCUUGGACUUUCACAACCGUAUAAAUUAAAGGGAAACUUGAUAUAACUCCAAUUUUUUGAGCCAAUAGUAGGAAUAGUCCAGUUUAUUAAAAUAAGUUCAAUUCUUUAAAUUUAAUUAUUUAGUUAUCAAUAAUUAUCUCUUAAAAGAAAAAACUUAUUGUAAAAAUCAAAUUUCUUCCUAAUUAUCUCUUUGAUUAUUUCUUUUUAUUUAUUUAUUUGUUAUUUCUUGUUCUUCCUCCUGCUUUAACCCAUUUAUAGAUUUUUUUUUUAAUUUUAUAAUCAACCUAUGUCACAGGUUAAUUGUAUUUAUCUACCUAUAUGACAUAUUCUUUUUCAUAGUCAACAUUUCACAGAUUAAUGUGUCUUGCUUGUAGAUAUAUUAUGUUUUUUUCUACCUUUUAGUUAGGUUUCAUAUCUCACUUAUAGGUAUAAUAUACAUUCAUAUAUUUGCUACUUGAGUUAGGGUAGAAUGUUUUGCAGAUAGAUUUAUGUUAGUAUAUUAAUUUUUUUUUGUUUAUAAGAUAUUAAUUAGAUAUUUUGGAGUUGAAAAAUGCAUAAUAUUAAAAGCUUUUAAUUGAUUUUUAAUAUUUUUAGAAAAUAUAAAAGGAGUAUAAAAGAAAUCAAAACAUAUAAUUAGAUAACGGGAGUCACUCCUAAAAACACUCUAUGUUUUUUGACCUGGAUCUUAAAGCCCCUAAAUUAAACUGUUCGCUUUGUUGGGAAAAAGAAGUGGCCCUAGUUUCCCUUUGAUUUUUCAAGCACGGUGGGAGACUGGUCAUAGUUUCUAGAUUGAUGCUCUAAUUCUAAUGUUAUACAACGCGUACGCUAUAAUAUUUUUAUCAAAAUAUUAGUUUUAGUGUUAUCAAAACAAUAUGUUAUUCUUACCAUGUUUUUGUAUCACAAUUAUAUACCACCUUAGAUGGUAUCUGAUGUGGACAGCCACAUCAUUUAAAUUAAUAAGCAUUUAAUUUCAAAAUGUUAAUCAAUAAUUAAUAAAAAGAUUGUUAAUUAAAUGAUGAUUGUGGUAUACAAGGAGUCUCCUUCUUCCUUCCUCUUUCCAUUCUGCUUUUUCUUCUUACCUCUUUUUUUUUUUUAAUGCCAGUUUUGUAUUGAUUUCUGUUGAUUUCCAUGAUUAUGGUCAAUCUUUAUAGAAUUUACUAGUAUGCCACAAUCACCAUUGAUUUCUAUCUCCAGACUCAUGCCCCGUAGCCCUAAUCCUCAUUCCCCUUCAAGUAUUUCUGUCUCCAAUCUUCUUUGGUACUCCAUGAUUGUUCAUCUCGUGAUAUUUUUUUUUUUGAUUAUUUCAUUAAGUAACGCUUAUUAGCUUUCAUGCGAAUUAGGAGUCAAAAUCAAAUUUGUCUAUCGGAUUAGGGUUCAUACCCAAUUAAGUUACUAACGCCAGAGGGAUUUUGAAGUAUGCAAUUUUCCUUAUUUAAGUGUUUUAAUUAAUAAGAAAAUUGAAAUUAAACAAUUUAGCUUGUCCAACUCAUCUGCCACCUAAGAUGGUAAAUAAAUGUGGUAUAAAAUUGUGGUAAGAAUAUCAUUACUCUUAUCGAAAUUACAAAAAAAAAAAAAAAAGCUGAUUCAAUAUUUAGUUAUUAAAAAAAAAAUGAUCAAGUAACUAUCCAAUACCCAUGUAUUGGGUGCUUUGUUUGAAAAUUUUCAAAAUGAUAUUGGGCUCGUUUGGAUAUGUUUUUAAAAUGACUGAAAGCAUUUUUAGAGAAAAUAUUUUUUUGAUUCCAAAAGCACUUAAAGUGCUUUCUGCAAGAAGCACCCGUUAUGUGCUUCUUCCUGGAAGCACUUUAAGUGUUUUUCCAGCAUUUACUUGCUUUUUUACUAAGGACUGGUUCCAAAAACAUUUUCACAAAAAGUGUUUUCAGUCAUUUUAAAAGCACAUUCAAACGAGCUCAUUGUUUUUCCUAUUUUAAUCGAGUGCGUCGUCCUCUGUUGAGAAUGAAUCUCAUAUUAUGGGAGGAGGGAUCUUGCAUGAAUGGGAGGAGGGACCUUGCAUGAGCUUAUAAGUAAGUUGGGUUACUCUCCAUAUUGCCAAAAGAAAUUUUAUUUGGACCCAGUUUUCCUCUCUCUAAACCCAACUUUAAUAUUUUGUUACCUAUAAACUCUCUAGUUUACCCUCAUAAAUUAUAAACAUAAAUAAACUAGAAAAAGAAAAACUCAUCAAACCCAUUUCCCAACUGUUCUGGCGUCUCUUCCCUGUAUUUGUUGGGUCUGUCUCCCUCCCGACUGUUUUUUUUUUUCUGAUAUCUCUGUGUGUUCCCCCACCUCUCCCACACCCACCAAUUCUUUGUGGUGGCUAUUCCACCAAACGUCCAGUGAAUCUUUCCAUUUUUCUUCUAUUGCGCGUGAUAGGGCCUUGCUAUUAAUAGGCAAAACUAAGCGGCAUCGUCGACUCCGUAAGCGACUUGUUGCAUAAGUCCAAAAUGGAGUCAAAUGGAUUUUGUAUUGGGUCGGGUUGUUGAAGGCGAUGGCUGAUUUAGCAAUCCCGCCUAACUAUUUCUAUAUGUAGGAGAAGGAAGAGGGAGGGAGGUCUGAAGUGGUGGUUGAGUGGUGGCGAUGUAUGUGGGUUCUCUCUCGGUUGAAUGGGUGUAGAAAGAUAUUUAAUUUUCAAUAUCUUAUUUUAUUUUGUAUAAGGGAUAAUAUAGGAAUUACAUAAAAAGUUUUUUUUAUAGCUAGGUGUAGAAAUAGUAUUGUUGGGUCUAAAUAAAAUUACCCUAUUGCCAAUUAGUUUUAUGGUGAAAUCUUAACUUUGUUCAUGCUUUCAUAGUAGGUUGUUCCACGUGUGAAGUCAAACAUCCACACGCGCUGCACGUCACCCCGUUGUGUUGUUCACGUGUUAAGCUUGAAAAUUCAUCACACAUGAGGGAGCGUGUUGAGAAUAAAUUCCACAGUUUAUAAGUAAGUUGUACUACUCCGUAUAUUACCAAUUAAUUUUGUGGAAUUCCGUCAAAGCUGAAUUUGACGGAAAAAAAUAACUUCAUGUUUGUUCUUAACUAUAAAGUCAGUGAUACACUAAUUCUGGUUUGUUUGUUUUUUCCUUCCUUCUUAAGGAAAUUCCCAAUCCAACCAAAAAAAUGAAAUUCCCAAGAGAAUAGUAGCACGAACAAUCGUAGCUUUCUUCUUCGAUAAGCCUUGGGGAAACAGAAAAGGGAAAACCGGACUUUAACCCUAAUUUCUCCCAAUGCCGCAGCACUCUCUAUUUUCUCUCUCGCUCUAUAUCGCGGUCCCUCUCUCUCGCCGUCCUCUAUUGCUCAAACUCAAUGUCUCCAACUUCCUCUGUAUGGUUCCCGAGGAAGAUGGUAAAACAGUAAGGGCAAGAAAUUGUGACAAGGUUAGAUUUGGGUAUUAAUCUGGUGGGGCUACAAUUCUCCAAUCCACACCCCUUUCAUCUGUGCUAGUGUUUGAACCCAAUAUUAGAUAACCGGUCCAUGCAAUCGAUGCCGUUGAAUGAGAAAAAUUCUAGGCCGUGGGAUCAAAUAUAAUGAUGUGGAUUAAAUAAGGAAAAUUUAAAGAGUAAUGAUAUUCAUACCAUGUUUUUGUACCACAUUUUCAUACCACCUUAGGUGGCAUUUGAUGUGGAUAGCCACAUCAUUUGAAUUAAUCAGAUUUUAAAAUUUAGUUGAUUAUUUAAUAAACUAAUAAUUAAGAAAAACUAAUUAAUUAAAUGAUGAUUGUGAUAUACGAGGAGUCUUUCUCGUUCAUUUCUUUGGGUUUUGCAAAUUUUUCAAAUGAUGUGGCUGUCUACAUCGGAUGCCACCUAAGGUGGUAUAGAAAUAUGGUAUAAAAAUAUGGUAUGAAUAUCAUUACUCAAAUUUAAAUGUUUAUCUUGGUUAAAUUACCAUGAUAAUAUUGUGGAAUUAUCUUUUGCAUAACGGAAGAGCGAGAAAAGUCCAAGGGUGUAGGGAAGUUGUGUGGUUGACUACCGCUAUUUUGAUGGUAUAAUCUGUAGAGUAAUAUUACAUUUAACAUCUAUUUGUAUCAUAUUUCUAAUAAAGAUAAGGACCAUCAAUGCAUAAAUAAUUAAACAAAUAUAUAAUAAGAGUAUCAUUUUUGUAACUAGAAUAGGAGAAGAAAGACUUCAAGAUGGGAUCAGCCAAAUAAUUAGCGUUAAGAUAAAAAUAUUGAAAGGAAAACUAAUGAAAAUGGCUUGAAAACUUUGAGUUUUAACGAUAAGGACAAGAUAAAGGGUAAAGUGAAUAGUACCAGGAUUGACUUUUUAAUGUAAAAAUAUAGUUUUUCGUUAAAGUGAACAUUACCGGGAACUUUUCGUUAAAGUUUCCAAUGAGAUAAUAUUGCAACAGCUGGCAUGAGACAAUGAUGGUAUAAAGAUGGCUACUACGGCCAAACUACUACAUAGGAUUCCAUACAUGCGGUCAUUAUUUCGACAAAUCAAUGGCUGCCGCAAUCAUGUGCUCAUUAUUCCGACAAAUCAGUAGCUACUUGCAUUGGAUUAGGAUUGCAUGCGUGUGGUCAUUGAAUGAGGAUUGCGUGCACGUGAUCUUUAUUCAAACAAAUCACUAUUGACCAUAUAUUGCAAUUGGUUAAUGGUAGGCAAAUUGAAUUUUUACAUCAAAUAAUGUGAUUGCUGAUAAUUGAAUUAUUAUUUAAAUGUUGAUUAAUAUGCUUAUUUUUUAUUUGUGAUAUAUCAUUUAAUUUGUACAUUUAGUUUACCUAACAUUACCAACUGUAAUUUGUAUAAAUGGACUGGUACCUAACAUAACCAGUUGUAAUUUGUAUAAAUGGGACUGUAAUUUGUAUAAAUGGACUGGUGCCUAACAUUACCAGUUGUAAUUUGUAUAAAUUUACUGGUCCCAAGAGCACAUGCUACUGCUCAAGAAGCAAAGUUCUUAUUUGCCCAAAAAAAAUCAUGGUUUUUUAAUUGAUGCUCUCAUUUUAAUUUACUAGCCCCUUACUUGGCCUUUUUUAUUUAUCAUUUUAUACAUAUUAAUAUUUUUUUGUAAAAUAUAUUAGUUUGAGUUUUAUUAAAAUUAAAAAUAAAUAAAAAAACUUAGUUUUAGUUUUAUCAAAUUAAAAAAAAAUGACUUAAUAUUUAGUUAUUGAAAUUGUAAAAAAGUGAUCAAGUAUUGGGUGCUUUGUUUGAAAUUUUUCAAAAUGAUAUUGUUUUUACCAUUGAAACCCUGUUAUAUACAGUGAUGGCUAAUUUGUCAAGUUCUACGAAGUUGGGAUACCCAGCGUUUUAGCAUAUAACAUAGCUUAGUAUUACAAGCAUAAUUAAUUAAAAUAAAGGCAAAAUAAGAGGAUAGCUUAGUAUUACAAGCAUAAUUAAUUAAAAUAAAGGCAAAUUGUAACAGCCCGUCCCUAAAAAUGACGAUUUUAUAAUCUUAACACGUGAGUUUAUGAAGAUGCCCUUCGAGGCAAAGUGUUGACUACCGCGUCGUGUCAUGUGAGACUCAUCUUCUUGGCGUAUUCUCGUUUUACUCGUCGCUACGGAUGCGUGGGCGCAAACGACACGUGAUUUGGAGCUAUAACAAAAGAGUUAUUAACAUUUAAAGUUAAGGACAUUUUAGUAAAUUAAUUAAUUUCAGAUUUUGUUGAGGGGAAAAUCUGGAGUGCCAUGUGGGUGGCCCAGAUUAAAGGAAAUGAGGAAUGGAUGGUGGAGGUGUAAAGGAAAGAAGAUAAAAGAAAAAUGAGAGGAAAUGUGUGACUAAUAGGGAGAUGAGAGAGUUAGGAUGGCCCAAUUAGAAACAAACGAAAGGAGGAAAAAGGAGAGAAGAGGGGAGCAGGGGAUCCCUUCAACCCGGUUCCACUUUCCGACCCGACCCGAUCCUUUUCAUCUUUUCCGGUGGUUUUUCGUCAGUUUUUCCGGCGAACCACGUUAUCUAACCCCGUUGAAAAUGUUCCACGACCUUCCCUCUACCAUUACAACCCAAAAUUGUAGAAAUUUAGCCAUGAAAGUAUGAAAACCGCACCGGUGGGUGCGGGAAACCUUUGUCGUCGAUUCUCCCAUUAUUGAAACGAUUUUCACCAAUUAUCACCACCUACAGCAUCCUCUUGAGGUCUGGAAUAAAGCCCAAACAAGUUUUGGGGCGUUGGAGUUCGUUUAAGGUCGAAUUGAGCACACCCAAAUUCAAGGGUUCCGUACCGUUCAUGGUGAUUUGAGGUGUUUCUCGGCCAAAUUGGCCUUAGUCACAAGUAUGAAAGUUGCUCCACUCGUUGAGAUCUUCAUUUAUGUGAAAUUUGAGAAUUUUUUGAAAUAUUUGGAUUUUCCAGCGAGUCGGGGUGGCGGACCGCCACCGGCAGCAGCGCAUGGCCAGUGGUCCACCAAUGUCAUUUUACGUUAAAUUGAUAUCUUGAUUUUAGAUUUGAUGUCUAUAUGUUAUGACUUGAUUAUGUGAACCUAGUUUGAUUAAGGUGCGUUAAUUGGUAAAAAUAUGAAACGACGAUCCGACCGUGGGAUCGUCACCAAACUUUAAUAUGUUAUAGUACAUAAUAUUUGAGAAUCAUAGGGACUGACAGAUAGGAAAUCCGAGAUACAGAUCUUCCCGAAAUGGAAUUGUAAGUUUGAAGAAUAAACGUUAACCGCCACUUUGUUUUGACUAUUGGUGGAGAUCCAACCGUUGGAUCAUAAUGAAAUUUUAGGAUGAUGUUUUAGAAGCAUAAUGUGGAUCUUUGGAAGUUACUGAUCGGAAAUCCGAGGAGUGAAUCUUCCGAAUUGAAUUACGUAGGGUUGUGGACCUUACCGUCGAUCGUUGACCGAUGAUCGACUUUUGGUCAAUGGGGCUUAAAUCAAUCUAAAACGUUUUUAGGGAUGUGUUUUACGUAAAUUACAUGAUCUAUUGAUAAGAAUUAUGAGAUGUGGUUUGAUAAUUGUCCUAGGUGCCGAUCGUUAGGAACGCUUCGAUGGUUAUGCUAGGAAAUUGUAGCACAGACUCCUUGUGAGUGAAUCUUUUCCUUCUUAUCAUAUAUAUAUAUAUAUAUAUAUAUAUAUAUAUAUGAUUGACAAUUCCACAAACGUUUAUAAAUUGAUUAUUGCAUAUAACUACUGUGAAUACUUUGAAGUACUUAUGCGAACUACGAAUGGCUUGAUCCGUGUUUAGGGUACGUAGGCAGUCUAACAAGACGUUAGAUGUAGUCAUACAAUAAUUGAGAUUAAACAAUUGAGAUAAAGCCUUGUUUGGGGAACUGGGCAAGGUGAAGGAAUUUGGUAAAAAGGUGAGAUUUAACCUUAUGAAUUGGUGAUUAAAUGUUGGUCAUAAAUCAAUGUGUAAAGAAUCAAGAAUUUGAAGUAAGGAAACGUAAGUAAUGAUAAUUAAUUAAACUAGUGUCUAGUUGGGCUUGUCACCUAUAAUUAUCCCCGAAAAUGAAUAAUUCGGGAGUAGGGCGUUACAGCUUCUGCAUUUUUAUGCCACAUUAUAUAUAUAUAUAUAAUUGGAAAUGCUAUAACAUGGUUGAGUAUCAGAUUUCAUCAUGGUUUAUCUAUAUGUAUAUUACCUGCACACAAUUAUUAUGAACGCGUUGAAGUGCAAAGGUGAAUGCACGACACCCAGGUAAGUUCAGGUGAGUUUAUGGUAUUAGUUGAAAUGAUGGGGUUAUGGUAUGACUACAUGUAUGUUUAGGUUGCAAUGAUAGGCAACUCCAACACUGUCGUACAGGUUGCCCAUGAAUUGUACAUGUUACAAUAGAUACAGUUAGAGCUCAUAAACCUACACCCCGGUGUUAGUACUCCCGCUCGUGGCCAGGGCACAGUCCUUCACGUGAUGUUCACCUCCCGCACCUUACGCUCACCUUGGAUCCAAGGUAGGUGCACAAUCAUGUCGUACCACUAUAGGUGGUUCCGACUCGUAGAUGACCCGCGAUUAUUUGCACAGUCUUCACGUGAUUGUAGCACUUGAGCGUAUUUAUUUACACCCAGUUCUAUUGUACAGACCACUUUAGGUGGUUCCGACUCGUAUGCAGGUAUACUUAUUAAGCUAUGGAUAAGUCGUACAGGUCACUAGAAGUGACUCCGACUUAUGAGCUAGCAUAUGUGAUGAGCUAGCAUAUGUGAUGAGAUAAGUGAUGAGUUAGUAUAUGUAAUGAGAUAUGUGAUGAGCUAGCAUAUGUGAUGAGAUAUGUGAUGAGCUAGCAUAUGUGAUGAGAUAUGUGAUGAGCUAGCAUAUGUGAUGAGUUAGCAUAUGUGAUGAGCUAGCAUAUGUGAUGAGAUAUGGGUAAGUCGUACAUGUCACUAUAGGUGACUUCGACUUGCGUGCUAGUAUGGGUUAUUAAUCACAUGAUUAUUGAUAUUACUGAUGAGAUGCUGUGUUGUGGUAUAUUUAUGAUCUUUCUGGAAACUAUGCAAGUGUUGUAACGAGGGGUUAUAAUGAGGUGUUGUAACGAGGGGUUAUAAUGUUUUAUAUGGUUUCUGUUAAAAUUUUAUUUCUAGGGUCACUCACCCUUAUUUUGUUUUCACCCUCUAGGUUUUAUUAGCUGAGCUUUCUUAUCGUCGAAGAUUCGUGGCGAUUCUUAGUAUUGGAGAUUAUUUCGAGAGUACGAUUCUUAAUUCACUUUACUGUACUUGCUUAAGCUGUAACGUCACGUGUGAAGUGGGUUCAUUUCCGCUUACCAGCGCAUUCUGGUAUUUAGGCACUCUUAGGUUUAAAUUUAUUCACAUUUUUCCACAUCAUCAAACUUUAUGGCUUUGUCACUCUUUAGGUGUCGGCCAGCACAGCUCGAUUUGGAGUCCUAGUGGACAUUCCGGGUCGGGGUGUGUCACAAAUGAAGAGGAUGGUUGAACUUGUUAAGUUUCUUAAGUGUGUCUACUUGAAGUGUGUUGCUAAUAAAUAUUUUGUUGUAGGCAUAAUUUACUGAACAAUUAUGGAGGCAGAGAGAGAGAGAGGGAAUAUGCGGCAUAGAGAGAGAAGAGAGAGAUGUGUAAUUGUGAGGUGUGUUCUAUUCCACCCCAUUGUACCUUUAUUAUAUUAGUAGGGAAAGUUAAUUCCUUACCCUUUUAGGAUUACAACUCUAAUAGGAAAAUAUCUAGUCUAAGAGAUAUGAUAGAAUCUCAUAAGGAUAUCCUAGAUAUGUUAGGAUUUACACAAUCAUAUUCCUAUUCCAAUAAGACUGCAACACAUUUGUAUUUUUUUAGAAUUUUUUUGAUAAUUUGUUGGUAUUCUCAAUUUUUGUUAACAUUGAAAAUAUAACGGUUCAGAUGAAAAACCUUUGGAAAUCCAACAGCUUGCAAGACGUUGGGCUGUGCUGAAGGAAGCUGGGCUGUCACGUGGAUGGGGCCCUCCCUCUCCCUCUUGUUGAUUCAAAGGGCGCAGGCCCGUGCAACAAUUGGCGAGGCAGCCCAUAGAGAUCCUGCGAUUCACCCAUUCGCCAUUUUUUCCACCGCUGGAGCACCAAAAUUCGGUCAAAAGGCAGGGGUAUCAAUGGCAAGGGCAAUUUGGCUUCCGCUGGAGGUGCUCUUUGUCGACUUUGUUUUUUCUCUCAUUUUAGCUUUUGCAGUAAUAUUGAAGUAAUCACUCCAAUUUUAUCCAAACUUUUGUUGUCCGUCAAUUUUUAUCAAAACUAUUGGUUAAUUUACAUAUUCAGACUAACCUUCUCAUUAUUUUUAGUAUUUUUAUCAUAAAUAAUAUCUGAAAUAGUCACAUUUUAUUCAACAACCACUCAAUUAAAAAUUAAUUAGUGUUGUUUCUAAACCAUUACAUCAAGCUUUUGUAGAUACACAUCAAUAUUGCAGCGAUCCGAGGCAUUGUUUUAGUGACGGUAGUACUUUCUACUCCUUGGAUUUGGUGAAUCGGAAAAGAGAAGAGUUACGAGUAAAAGUCCCUCGCAUUGUUUUGGGGAGAUGAAGAUGAUGAUCUUUUGUUUUUGUUUUUUAAUGAUUAAUCCACGCAGCAACAUAUAAUUAAAUUGUUGGGAUCUACUCAAGUUCCAUAUCACACACUAACAUAAAAUUUGACAAACGAAACGAAAUAUGUGUGUAGACAUCGAAAUUUCGUAAAUAAAUGUUGACCGAUAAAUCAAAGUGUCAACGCUCAUGUAUUACAUAAAUUUUACACGUAGCGUGUGACUCAACGAAAAUUGAAAUGAGUUGGAAAAGUCAUCAAAUAGGACACGUGUCAACACCUGGCAGAAACGACUUAUUUCAUCUGGGAUAUUAUAUUCAAAAUUAGCCAUUGGAAAAUUCUAUAAAUACAAGCCCAUUUCAUUCAUUUAAGGAGAGGAAUUCAUAUUACACCUUGAAGCUCUGAAGCUCUGAAACUCCGAAGCUCUCAAGCAUCCAGGUUCCCGAAGAAUCAAGAAAGUGUUCUUCGUUCUUCGUUCAUCGUUCUUCCAAGAUCAAGCCUCGACGGCCCUUGGAUCAACAAUCAUCCACCUUCAAGAUCAAGCCCCGACGGCCCUUGAAGAAAGCGUUCUUCGUUCUUCGUUCAUCGUUCUUCCAAGAUCAAGCCCCGACGGCCCUCGGAUCAACAAUCAUCCACCUUCAAGAUCAAGCCCCAAAGGCCCUUGAAGAACUUCCACCAAUUCAAGAUCAAGCCCCGACGGCCCUUGAAGAAAGCACCAUCGUUCAUCAUCCGUUCAUCCAAGAUCAAGCCCCAACGGCCCUUUAGAUCAACAACGUCGACAAAUCCACACAUCCAACCGUUCUUCAAGAUCAAGCCCAAAAGCCCUUGAAGAUCCGUUCAUCACUGUUCUUCAAGAUCAAGCCCAAAAGCCCUUGGAGAUCCGUUCAUCACUAUUCUUCAAAGAUCAAGCCCAAAAGCCCCUUUGAAGAUCCGCUCAAAUCCACCUUCAAGAUCAAGUCCACGGCCCUUGAAGAACGUUCAUCCUUAGAUCAAGCCCAACGCCCCUUUGGAUCAAUCGCACAUCCACAAAUCAACACCUUACGGAGAUCGAAUCAGAGGAUCAAAAUAGAGAGAGAUUGUAACCCAAAAUCAUCAAAUACAAAUAUUUGUUUGUGCGCGUUGUUCUUGUCUCUUUCGUUUCAGGAAUUUUCCGUGUUCACAAUGUGCUCUUGAAAUCAAAAUGAGGGCACUGCUCCAAGAACAAGAAGGGCACCUUGUCGAGGUCGCCAUCCGCCGUGAGGGAAAACCGGAAGAAGUUGGACAACAAUGAUAACAUCAAUUUGCGGCACCCAUAUCGGGACAUCACACUGUGAAAUAAAUAUUGAAAUAAAUACUCAAAACUCCUGGAAAGUCCUCGAGACAACAAACUUUCAUCUCCUUCAAACAUUUCAUUUUACUAAGUUUUAUCUUUGAAGGGAGGGAAAAAAAGAGAAGAGAGAAUCCUACUCCUUAUUCCUGAAUAUAUUCAAGAAUAGCUAUUGAAUAAAGAGAGAAUGGAGGGUGAUCGAAAGAGGAGGGAAGAGAAUUCUAGUUCCAAACAUAAAAAGGACCACAACUUUUAAAUUAUCAGCACAAUCAUCACCUAAUUGAAGAGACCAUUCACUGUGAAACAUAUUGUCAAUCAGUCUAUCUAUAUCUAUUUAUAUACCAUAUUUUUAGAGUAAGAUUCUCUCACCUCCUAUUACCAUCCCCUUCCAUCCUUUCAUCUCAUACUCUUUUUUUGUUGUCUUAUUCUCUAUAUAAAAAAAUUCAAAACAAGAUGUAUACGUGACGUAAUCGUAACCGUUUAAAUAAGAGGGGAUAGAAGAGAAGAGAGAUUAGGAGAAGGGAGAAUCCUACUCCCACAUUUUUCUUCUUCAUAAACAAAAGAGAGGUUCUAGAUUACUUGACUCUAUGCCUCAUUUUUUUCAUCAAGUAUUUGUGAUAAGUGGGUUCAUUUUCAAGUAUUUUAGUUUUUUUGUCAAAAUUGAGAAAACUGAAAAUCAAACAUUAAUAUGAAAAAUUAAAAAAUCAACAUAUAAUUAUUUAGAAAUCGCAAUAGAAAAGAAAAAAAAUGGAGGUUUGUGAUGAAAAAUCUUUUAUACUAAGUAAUUUAGUAUCCUUAUGCAUGAAGAUAAAUCAAUUUGUUCGUUACGGUCAUACUCUUUUUUGAAUUUUUGAACACAUUCUCCAUAGGGCCUUCUUAUAUGUUCCUUCUCCAAGCUCGGGUUAUGGAAGAAGUAAAAGAAGGAAUCGAAAAGAAAGUAUUGGUAACAACCGAUUUCAUUACGAGACAACUCUUGAUAUUCAUAUCAAUCUAUUAUGUACCUUUGCAUCUAGCAUUAGACAAUAAUUGUCAUAGCUUUACCAUAUUUUUUUGUUUCAUUUCUUCUGAAACAAUCUCACACACUUUUUUAUUAUGUGUCUACUACUAGGAAUUCAAUACGUAAUCUUAGCAUUCAAUAGUUAUUCCUAAAUAAUUUCAAUUUUCAAAUGAUCAACCAUUUCAUUUUACCAAGUUCAAUCAAUGUUAGUCAGAUUAGUCAACAUUUAUAUAUUUUGAUGCAACAACAAGAUGUUAUUUGUAACAAGUGAUUUUGUUAGUUGGUUAAUUGGUCACAAGUUAAUGUUCGGUUCAGUUUAGUUUUUCUCUCGAUUUUUUGUGAUUCGGUUUUUUCAAUUCUCUUUAGGGUCGGUUCGGUUUUGUUUUUUUAUUUAUACUUGAAUUUUAUUUUAAUUUAUUUUAAUUUAUUUUAUUUUAAAUCUGGAAACACCAAGAACAACACAAGCACAUAGUCAAUCAAACAACUAUCCUUCUCCACAAAUCAUAGUAAUAAUUACAUUCAUUGAGCUGAAAUGCAAAUAACUAACAAACUCACAAAAAUCAAAUAAAAACUACAAAUUGCUUACUCUUUUUCUUUGGGUUUCACUCGAAAAGUGUCGGUAAAAUUUAGGGUUUGCAAGAACGCAACUGAAAUCUAAAACGGAGGCCUUGUGGCCUAUGGGUUGCUAUUGAGUUCCAGUACAGAGAACCUUGCUUAAUCUCGAUCACGGUACAAAGUAUCGAGUACCUUUAGCACUGUAUUUUGGUAUGAUUGGUAGAACCAAAUUAAAAGCUAACAUCAACAACAACUACCAGAGACAAAAGCUCUUAUCAAUGCUUUGGAAACAUUUAUGUAUCUCCAAGUGUAAUGAUAUAAUUGGUUGGAAACUUGUGAUUUCGUAUCAAAUCAAUAAAAAGUUACAAUAUUGACAAUAUAUUAGCAAUUUUUAUGUUAAUUAUGAACAAGUCAAUCAUGUAGAACCAAAUUAAAAGCUAACAUCAACAACAACUACCAUAGACAAAAGCUCUAAUCAAUGCUUAGGAAACACAGUCCUGUAUCUCUAGGUGUAUUGAUAUAAUUGGUUGGAAAUUUAAAAGAAAAAUGGUGAUUUUGUAUAAAAUUGAUAAAAAGUUACAAUAUUGACAAUAUAUUUGACACACCCCGACCAAGAUCAAGGCAUGCUGGCCGUCACAUGAGAGUGACGUAACCAUGUGCACAGUGCGGAAGCAAUAAUGAUAAGAAAUAUAUGAAUAAUUAAAAACCGAAUCUACUAGAGUGCACUACUAAACAGGAAGUAUUAGGAGUAAGAUACAAAAGUAAAUACUCCUAAUCAGAGCAUAGAAAGUCUAGGUGCAAUCCAGUAGGACAAGUACUAAUUAUACAGUAUAAAAUGUCUUACAAUUAUUUAGAUAGGUCAGAACCGCCGAAGUCCUCACACCCAACAACUGCAAACUUACUUAAAACCUGAAGGGGCGCAAAAUAGAAAACGUGAGUGGGAAAAAACAAAUGUUUUACAAAACCAUUUCAUUUAUCAAUAUAUCUAACCCCUCGCUGUAAACAUGUAUAAUUUUUCCCAGAAUCAAGAUAUAAGCAUAUACAUAAAUAUAUAUAUAAAUAUAUCAAUUCAAAUCAUGCUUCACAUAAUCAUAUUCAUAUGUAUGUCAUGCCAAGAUAUAACAGAGUAAGCAACUCAGGUAAGAGUAAUUUCAUAGAAAUAUAACAUGUUAGCCGGAACCCCUGUAGUAGUCUGUACGGCUGAAUUCAUAGCUCAAAAGUCAAUCUAGCCGAAGUCACUACAAUGACCUAUACGGCAAUAUACUGCACAAGAGUCGGAACCAAAUGAAAAGAUCUGUACGACAAUAAUGGGUGUUGUUGAUGCACAAAAUCAGUGAGGACUUUGGUACAACAGAAAGUGUUAAGUUUGUGACAUUCUCUAGAUUACUCCGAUCACUAGUGUGGAUAAGUAUGUAAAUGGAUAAAGACAGGGAAGCAAACACAAGAUGUACGUGGUUCACCCAGAUUGGCUACGUCCAUGGAGUAAAUGAGUUCUUAUUAAUUGUGAAGGGUUUACACAAGUAUAUAGGUUCAAGCUCUCCUUUAGUGAGUACUAGUGAAUGAUUUAGUACAAAUGACAUUAGGAAAUAUUGUGAGAGAAUGAUCUCUAUUUAUAGAAGAGAGUUUCUAGUUUCAUUCUGACAUUGACACGUGUCAUGUUGUGAUUGGCUUCUGAUGUUGACAUGUGUUGCACUAUGAUUGGCUUUAGAUGUCAACAUGUGUCGCGUUGUGAUUGGCCUCCUGGUUUGAGGGAAACUCUUCUGGCUCCUUGACGGUAUAACGUUGAUCGAUGCUCAGUAGUUUCGGGAUUGGUCAAGUAUGGUACAAACAGGUGUAAUAUAAUCAUACUCAAUACUACUCUCACAUAAUAGCUGGGUGAUAAAUCGCUAGUCACCUAUGAGUCAGAACGAUAAUAAAGGUCUGUACGAAGACUGUGCACCUAAAUUGGAUCCAAUAUGACCAUAUGGUGCGGGAUGUGACAUUAUAUACAGGCUUGUGCCAUCACUGGCGGAGCUACACCCACGGCUACAGUAGGCUGUAGCCUAGGGAGGAUUUUAACAAACUGCUGGUAUAAUAGUUUAUAUAUGAGUUUGUUGUUGCUUAUUGUAUGUAUAAUAGCCCACAUAAAUCCUGCCAAAAUUAUUAGUUAAUGUGUUUCUUAAUUUAUAAAUAAUACUUUUAUUACCUUUUAUUAUUUUAUUAUUUUUAGGCUAAAAGUAAAAAUGGUAAAUUAAUACAUAAUUAGGUUUCUCCUAUUCCCCAUGCUUUUUACCUAUUCGUUCAAAACAAAAAAAUUAAACCCUCUACCCUAAGAAAAGAAAAACUAUGAAUCACCAUCAAAUUAUUUUCUAAUGAAAUUCAACACUAGAUAUGCUCUUCAUGUCUUCAUUUAACCUAUUUCUUGAUUCAAUUGUUCAUUCCAUAUAUCUACAGCACGACUUGAAUUGGUAUCCCCUAACCUUUUUUCUUUUGGGUACUUGUUAUCAACAAAAGUGAUAAUAUUUGUUCUCUUUCUAUUGCUUUUUUGUAUGCAUGUUUUAUUUGUGUAAAAAUUAGUUGGAAAGUAAUUAAUAAACUUGUUUGGAUUAUUAGUACUUCAUGUUCCUACUUUUAUGUAGAUUACUAUAUAAUUUUAUGUAGGCAAAAAAAAAAUUCAUAAGAUUAUAUGCUAAUGAUUUUAGUUAGCCCACCCAAGAAAAAUUUUCUGGCUCCGCUAUUAUGUGCCAUAACUCUGGCAAAAUCACAAUCACCCUAAGUGCAGUUUUAUGAGUUCAACGUUAUUCUAUCACAUAUCACAUCAUCGAUAAUUCACAUAACCAAACAUAACUCACAUGAGCUUACCUGAGCGUCCACAGUACCAUAAUUAUAUAUAAUGCAUCAUAUACGAAAUAUAAAUUCAUAUGCAUGGCAUUUAAGGUAUACUUUCAUUUAAACACAUAUUUCUGGGAAAAUAUCAAGUAUAUAAAUAUAUACUGAAAACCAAAAGCCCACUCAUUGGUAUGUCGAAGGGUCGUAGCCCCCGAGUCGCCUUUGAAUACUCUCGUCCUCGUGAUAAGUCUCACCUAUAUGCGAAUUAACUAUAAAAACGUUAUUUUAGAGCACAUACAAAAAAUUAGCUAAUAACUCUCAUACAAUGCUCAAUUUUUGUAUUUGAAUAUAUCACAGUGACCUACACAACCUCAAGAUCAUCCCUAAAUUUUUACAAUAUUUUUCUGACCCCUCACGCGCUGCCACGCACCGGCAAGGGCAACGCCUUACUCGCCCCCACGCGCGGCCACGUGACAAGCAUACUGAUGGCGUCAAUCAACAUCAUCAGGAAUAUUCUAGGGAAUAUUCUGUUAAAACCCAAUGGUAACUGUUAAAGAUGACUGACGGCAUGAGCAUAUUCUGUCAACCUUGACGGAAUAUACUCCUUUCUUCUCCGAUGAGUCGUCGGUCGCCGGCGACUUCGCCGAUUUCUUGGUAAAACUUUAAAUCGCUUAUUCUUCUUCGUUUCUUCGCCAUUUUUCAUGAAAUUGGUACCAAAAUGAAGCUAAUAACAUGUAGAAUCACUUUGUAUAAGUUUCAAGGCUUAAAAUCUACUAGUUUUUCCCUGAGAAAGCUCGAUAGUUCGGCUUACCUAGAUAUGCGUCGAUCUCAGCCCUCCGACGUCCAAUUCCUUCCAACGAAGUACCCCAAGACUCGUGAGGACCUCCUUAAGCUUCCUAUAAGCUUCAAAUUCCCUGAAACACAAGAUUUUACGUAUGCAUGAACAAUGCACAAAGUCGGAGCUAGGGUUUCCACGUGAAAUCGAAGGUUUCCUUACCUGAAAAUGGUUCCUUUGAAUUCGUAUGGUUCUCACGAACACAAUGGUGAUCUUAAAACCUUCGAUCUACAAGGUUUAAGAGGGUUUCUGGGUUGGUCCGUACGAAGAAGGGAGAGAGAGAAUGAGAAUCUGCGAGAGAGAGGGCACGGGAAGGAAAGAGAAAUAAGAUAGGUGUGUGUAUGGUCCAAAAGCCACCAAUCAAAACUAAGAAAAGUCUUAGUUGUAAUUGGGUCACCAAUCUAAAACAAUUUAACCCAAUAAUAACUUACACACAUCAUUUAACAUCCGAGGGUAAUUCCGUCAUUCUACGUCAUCGAGAAUAAUCUUCCGGGACGGGCUGUGACAAUAUCAGCAAUAUUUAUGUUAAUUAUGAAUAGGUCAAUCAUGUAUUUAAUACUUAAAUGUAUUUAAAAUAAACACCUUAUCAAUGUUUUCUGAACUGUGCUCGAUUUUUCUCCUUCGCUUUGGUUCUGUCCCAUUGGAUUUUUCAAGCAAGAUUUUAUCAAGGCAACUAUCAUUAACUGUGAACAUAAUUUAUCAUUGAGACACGAACAUCCAAGGGGGAGUGUCGUGGAAAAAAAUGUAGAUAUCUUUAUACGUUGUAUGGUAGUAAACCAUCAUAAACACCAUAAAUAUGUAGAAACGCCCUUGCGGUACCUUUGAAUGAUAACUCAUGUAUUUGUUGCCCUAUGUAAAGAUGGCUAAUGAUAAUGGAAGACUAAUUUUCUCAUCCCAAUCUCUCCUGUCUCUCUUAUUCUCUUUUCUCUAUAUUUUAUUUCCAACAAGUUGUGUUUUUUUUUUAGUAUUGUUAAGCAACCCAAUAGAUUUUAAUCGUAGUCUUUGUUUUUUUUCUUUUAUAUUUUUAAUCAAUUUCAGUUGCUUAUCAGUUCUAGCUAAUUGAGCUCUUUUACAGCAAUUUUUUUCUUUAAAUAAAAUUAUUAUUAUUAAAAAGAGUGAGAAAAUUCGAAAUUGUUACAAUAAUUUAAAAAAAAUAGGAGUUUCAAAUCAUGAAGGUAGAGGGAGUUAACAACAUUUUAGGGGGGGGUGUAGUCAAACUAGGAUUUUGAAGGAUUUUAAAAGUGAUAGAUUUGAUAGGAUUUAAGAUGAUUAAAGACUCUUACAAAAUUCAUAUGGAUUUUAAAGAAUAUGAAUGGAUUGCGGUGGAUUGUGGGGGAAGGAUUUGAAAUCCUAGGGGGUGAGGUUUGAUUCUUUUUAGUUUUGGUUAUAUAUGGUAUGCUUUCAAAUCCCAGAAAAUCCACAACUUUUUAAAAUCCUUUAAAAUCUUAAUUUUUUUAAUACACUUAGAUUUGGAUGGAUUCUAAAAUCCUUUAAAAUCUUUUAAUUGACUACACCUAGAUUUGAAUGGAUUCUAAAAUCUUUUAAUUGACUACACCUAGAUUUUAAUGGAUUCUAAAAUCCUUUAAAAUCUUUUAAUUGACUACACUAUGAUUUUAAAGUCUUUAAAAUCCUCUCAAAUCCAAGUUUGACUACACCCCCUAAAGAUUUUAAGGAAAACUAAUGAAAAUGGCUUGAAAACUUUGAGUUUUAACUAGGGGUGGGCAAACGGGUACAGGAACCGCGGGUAGGGGUGGGUAAUUCAAGUUCGGGGCAGGUAUGGGACAUGUCCAAUAUUUCUAAACACAAAACGGGGCGAGGCUGUUCGGGUAUAUGAAAUUAUCGGGGCGGGGCGGGUCUUAAAAUAGAAGGGAACGGGCCCCCAGCCUGACCCGUUUCUUUUCCUCAUCCCUAGUCUUCUCUAUCUCUCUUCCCCGACACUUUUCAUUUCACUCAAACCCGGCCCAUUUCUUUUCCUCAUCAGUCAUCCCUAGUCUUUUCAAUCUCUCUUCCCUAACUCCUUUCAUUUCACUCGUACCUCGAGACCUCCUCUUAACUCGCUCCCAGCCUCCCACCGUCCUAGCUCCGUACCUCGCCAUCAUCAUCGUCAGACCUCCAUCUCUCCUGAUUUACUCAUGUCUUCCUCGCUGCGUCCGCCGCCAUGUCUCUCUUUCUGUGACGAACUUAAAGGGACGGACGAAGUUGAACAACUCGAAACGACGCCUCUUCUGUCUGAAUUAGACCCAUAUUUGCAGCGCACGACUCUGCUCAUAGUCCUCUUCGGUUUUAAGGUAUUACGUUUUAGAGAUUUAGGAUUGAAAAUUAAAUUAGGGUUUUCUAGAUUUAGGGAUUUUGUUGGGUUCUUGAACCUUGACCUCUGUUAUGUUCCAAUUUCAAAUAUAUAUUGAAUUGAAUUUGAAUCGACUGUGUUUGAAACUUCUGUUGAAUUAAAUUGAAUUUGAGCAGGAGAAGAGGCAGAUGUGGGUUGGGCAAUGUCGAAUCUCAUUGUGGGUGGUGAGGUGGGCAUGGCGGGCGACAAUAUUGACUGGCAAUGGUACGGGCGGUGCUAUUAAGUUGCAGAAGAAUACGAAGGAGGGGGUGUGGGCAUGGGUGGAUAUCGCAAGCUCAAUUGAAUUUUUUCUGGUUUUGUUUGUGAUUAAUUGCUUGUAUAUGAUAGUUAUUGAUGGAUCUUGACAUGCCCAUUUAAUUGUUAUUGGCAAUGCUAGUUUGAUUGUAACAAAUUCAAACCGAUUGAAUUGUAUCCCAGAAAAAAAAAUCAAUAAAGGAACUGAGGACCCGGCCCGAACCAGCCCAUUUCAACCGGGCCAGGUUAGGUUCGGUUCUUAUAUUAGAAAAUGUUGUUCCCGGCCCGUUUCUCUUAAGCCCGGAUCCAGUCCGAUCACUUCGAAAUUGGCCCCAACCCGGCCCGGGCCCACCUCUAGUUUUAACGAUAAGGACAAAAUAAAGGGUAAAGUGAAUAGUACCAAGUUUGACUUUUUAGUGUAAAAAUGUAAUUUUUCGUUAAAAUAAGAUUUUAAUGGAUUCUAAAAUCCUUAAUUAAGAAAUUAGGCUUCAACCCAACUCAUCUUUGCAACGCCGGUUCCACUUCACAUCAACAGGCAAUGUUUUCUCCUCAACAAAUAGUAUUCUUUUAUGAGACAAAGACUAAUGAGGGUGAUAUAUAUAAUUAAUAAUAAUACUUGUGUUCCCUUUGUGAGUGAAUGCACUUAUUUUACCAUUCUCUAAUAAUGUAUCUUUAUUAUAUAAAUUUAUAUCAUGUGGAUAUCUUCCUAUAAAAAAGUUAUUCAAAUUGGAAAUCCUUACGUCAUCAAAAUAUAUAAAAAAAUGGACGAUCUCAUCGUAAAUAUGUUAGUUACUCACACUAUAACUUUGUAUAUUCCCUCACGUAGGAAACGCAAUAAUUAUCCUCUAAUUAAUUCUUCUUGAGAGUAGAAUUUUUAUUGUUGGUUUUUCGCAACCUUCAGACCUAAAGCUGAUAUGGACCUCUCAUUGUUUUUUGGGUUGCCGUUCUUAUUUUGCUUGGUCCUUUUACCUUUUCUAUAGUUGUUUAUCUAGUUCUUUUGAGCCUCGUACUAAUUUUUAAUGUAAUGAAAAUUAUCUUCGUGAUAAAAAAAAAAAUCAUUAGUCCUCGUAUGAACAUGCGAUGUAACACACUUUCAUGGAACAACAGAUGAUAAAGACGAUAUCCAAAUUUUCUCUGUGUUAUGUGGACUUUCCCAACCAAAUAAAUAAUAACCAAUAAACAAAUAAAUAAGAGUUUAACUUCAAACAUUGAGAAGCGAAAUUCCAACACUACGAGCCUAACUUUUGUCUUCAUCAUCAUCAUAGACUAGUCUCCUAUCCAUCAACUCCUACAUCAAUUUUUUUUUUUACUAGAUUGUAGCUCACUUUCAAAAGAGUUACGUAAAGUAUUUAAGCACCAUAAAAGAAAAUUAAACGACAACGAUUGACAUAAUAUUAGUAGUAUCAUGGUCUAAAAUAUUCAUAAUAUCUUGAUAUUUUUAUUGAAAUUUUCGUGUUUUUAGACUACCUAUAUUUUCAAUAUCAUCGAUAUUUUAAACCUUGCUAAGUCACUCAUGUAUCUUACCAUGCAAUGUAUAAAGUGUAAAAUAUUGUACUAAUUCAUUAUAUAUAAAUGAUUAUAGUGUGUUUAAACUUCUUUCAUUAAUUACUACAUAUUUUCUACACUCACAAUGUUUGCCAGCUCGCUAUAUAAUCAACUUAAAUCAAUUAUAUCUAUCAUGUAAUGCAUUUCCUUCCAAUUUUUUGUGAUAAACUAAUAGAUAAUUGACUAAAUAAACAUCCUGCAAAGUUUCAAUAAAAAUUUCCAAGUUUUUCUUACAAUUUCCGUAGUUUUUAUUCAAUUUUUAUCGAUAUCGAUAAUAUCCCGAUAUUUCCAUCGAAAUUUCCGUAUUUUUAGACUACUGAUAUUUCCGAUAUCAUCGAUAUUUUAUACCUUGGUAGUUAUACAUUUUAUCGGCCUCAUUUUUAUGCAACUUAUACAUUAAAUUAUUGUCAAAAUGUACAUAUAAAGUAGCUGAUCAACGAUGAGAUUUUAGGCAACCAUUUUCUUCUACGACGUCAAAGGUUGUAGAGGUGGCCAUGUGCACUACAUGCGUAAAUCAACUAGGGACUUGGAUCCUCUCUUAAGCCCAAGGAGAGGAUCCUCCUAACCAAAUGACUUGGAUUGUUGGAUGAAAAUCUAACGAUUACAAACAGAUGAUCUCUUUAAAGUUAUAAUAUUUAUUACCGUUGAAUUUUCAUCAAACGGUCAAAUAUCAUUGGUCAAAAGGGUCCUCUCAUUGGGCUCAGAGAGGACCCAAGUGCAUCAACCAGAACUAUUGCUAUUAUAACAAUUCAUGAAAUCAAUUAAACAAUAAUUUUCCUUCUGGCAGGCAUGUUAGUUAUUUCUUAUUUGGCCAAUUGCCUAGUGGAUUUGGUAGAUUUAACCUCUCCACCACAAACACAUUUAAAAAUUUCCAGAAAUCCGUAACGUAAAAUUUAAAAAUAAAUAUUAAUAACAGCAAGUUCUUUUCACCGACCGUGACCGAGAUCUGUCACAUAUCCAAAAUGUCACCUCCUUAUCGCAAAAACCAAAUUUGACUUGGGAUAAAUACCGUGUACAAAUUAAACGCGUUUCUCUAGCUUUUGCGUAAAGAGGCAACCCAACACUAAACUAGGAAAACGUUGGGUUGACAAAGAUACCAUGAAGAAUAAAGGGGUUAUGCAAUCCACUUUGCAAGAUAAUCAAAGUUUCCCGUUGUAGACUUGUCUUAACCCAACACUAAACUAAGAAAACGUUGCUUUCCCGUUGUAACAUGAAACAACAUUAAACAACAUUAAACAAUAUUAAAUAACAUUAAAUAACAUAAAAAUUAUACAACAUAAAAAAAACCAUUUAACAACAUAAAACUUAAAAUGCGUACUUCUUGCUUCUUGUGGCCUAAAGAUGUGCAACAAGAUCUUGAUGUAGGUACUUGUUUGUGGCACGAAAACGUAUCAUCCUAGCCGUUGGAUUUGAAUUUUUUUUGUUUUCGGCCAAAAAAUUUUAAAUUUAAAAGUUGAAGAUGGUGAGAAAUAUGAUCCUACACUGUUCAUUAAAAUAUUAAUUUCUUGAAUGACCAAAAGGCUAAAACAAGCCAUCCUUCGGUUGGAGAUGCCUAAGGAGAGACUAGAGAUAGAGAGUUUCCUAUAUAUGAUUUUCAUUAACAAGAUUGAAAUGAUUUCAGAGAGAAGAUCAAGUAUGGUUAUUUUUAUUUUGUAGAGUGUAGACAUUAUAACUAUACAUUCAUAAUAACAUGAGUAAUGUUAUAUUUAUCACAUUUGUACUCUUUCUCUGAUAAAGGUAGGGUUCAUCAACACAUGUGGGUUCUAUUUGCCCAUCAACACAUGCGGAUCUCAUUUUUAUUAGAAAAAUAGUACAAAUAUGGUACGGAAAAUAUGAUAAGAUCGCAAUUUUGUAAUAACAUAUAUACUCAACUAUUUAUAUACCGACCCAUCUCCUUUUAGUGUAGAUAAUAUCGUUUGUUAAAAAAAAUGUUGAACUUGUCAUAAUCAUUGAAUCCAUUUACCAUGAACAAACGGCAGUUUACUAAACUUGCCCUCAGAGUAUAUAUAAAAGGUGAAUCACAAUCUAUUGCAUUAAUAUAAGGAAACAAUUUAUAGGGUUUGACGGGUGACUUAAUAUGCUAUAUGGCACAAUGAAAAUUAAGUUCACACUUUAUCCCAAAUAAGGUGUUGCACCUUUAAUUUAUGGAUGCUGGUUUGACGUGUGACCGAAAUAAUCAAAUUGUAGCCAUUAAUCAUUUUACAAGUAAUAAUAUGUAGUUUUUACUGUUUACGAUUCACACAACAAUCUGCUAGGAAGUAGAAAAUGCAGUACUUGUCCCUCUCACAGAAGUCAUGAAUAAUUAUCAAAUUCAAAGAUAAAGAAAAACCACACAAUUUACAAGAGGAAAGAAAAUGAAGGGAUAAAGAAAGUAAGAAAGGAAUACCUCUAUGGGAGGACUCUUAUUUGCUUCAGAUGCCUACAAUAUUCAUCAUAUAAACACUGAUUAAGUAGUCAUCGAAAACCAAAACAAAUGUCGAACAUAGGGUGAAAAACAGAAAGAAUAACCGCAGCUCAUCAUACCAAUAGAGAUAGAACUGCCCGAUGCCCAAGUAUGACUGAAAAAUGGCAAUCCAAACAUGGCGCCUUCUAGCUCAUCAAACUGUCAAAACCUAGGUUCCACCAAAAAGAUACAAGUCACCUAGUUACUUGUAAAAUAAAAAUCUGUUUCAAAAUAGUGGAAAAUAUUAUUAACAUUGUUCAAAGUCCACAUUGUUGUACCUACCAAGAAACAAGAAGGAUUGUAUCUUAUCAUGAAAAAGAACAUAGGUACCUUUUCAAUUGUAAUUGUACAAAAAUGAGAGACCACUUCCGAACUUCUCUUGGAACUUCAAUCAAUUUCUGCCCACUUUUAAAUGCCUUGACAUACUUAAGCCUAUUUCUUUGAGCUUCAGUUUUGGCUUCUGAUGCCUUUAAAUUUCUUAAAGAUUCUUACCAAGUUUUACAAACUCACUUCUAUACAACCAUUUGUCAGUAUACAUACCAUUUUCUUUGAGCUUCAGUCUUUGCAACACCAAAACCCCCCAAAUAGACCCGGAAUUUUGCAAUGUGCAGGGAAUAUACAAAAAAAACCCUCCUAUCCAUCUAAAACGAAAUCAGAACCCAAACCACAAUCAAAAUCCGUAAAAUUAAUUUAGCCAACCCUAAAUCUAAUAAUUCUAACAAAUAUUAUAGUAUCAAUUGAGAGAGAAUUUGAGAAGAUACCUAGAGAUGAAAGGAAGAGCGUUUCCUCUGAUAGGGGUUCCGUGAAAGCAUCUGUUGACCAGAAAAGAAAAGGCAAAAAACCCCAAAUUACAUAUCAAGCAAUUAUAGAUAGAUCGAACCUUGAAAAUUGAAAUUUCAAACAAGAGAAAGGUUAUAAACUUACAACGAUCUGGGUGUUGGUUACUGGGUUUGGAUUUGGGUUUCUGAUAAGAGAGAGAAUCGUAUGAGGAACCGAUAGAGGAACUGCACCGGCAACAGAGAGCAACUGAUAUGGUGGAGAAUAGAGAUGGGCAAAAUAUCCCGGUUAUCCGCCCAUUUAAAGUUCACAGUUACGGUUAUGGUAAUUGAACGGUUAUGGGUACUACCCGUGGUUAUAACGGGUAUCUAUUGGUUAUGGGUAUUAUCCGCGGUUAUAACAGGUAUUCAUUUACCCAUUUAAUUUCAUAUAUGUAAAAUUUAUAAUAUUUUUAACAGUUAUAACGCGUUUUUGUAUUUGUUGCCAAACUUUUCGUAUACAAAAAAUUUGAAGCACAAGAAGCCAACAAGGAGAAAGAUCAAAGAGCUUACUUGAAGCUUAUGAUCUAUCCUGCGGUUAAUAGAAAGUACUGGUAUUAGUGUAGAAAAAUGUUUGUUUUUAGAAGCUUUAUUUUGUAAUCAUAUGAAUUAUAAUUAAAGACUUGCUUGGGUGUAGUAAAAAAAUAUCGUUUGUAAACUAUUAUUUCAAUUAUUAGAAUUGUAUGAUGACCUAAAUGAUUAAAAUAGAGAAAUGCAUGCUAAAAUGUAUUUAUAACAGUGUUUAAUUGUCAGAUUUUUUUUUUUUUUGUAAUUUUCAAGUUGUUAAAAAAAACAUGCAGAGAGGUGAAAAAAGGGAUUAAAAAAUGAUAAACGGGUUCAAAACGGGUAAACGGGUAAAUGAUUAUGGUUAAAUAGGUAAACGGUUAUGGGUAAAUGGGUACACGGUUAUGGGUAUGAGUAUAACCGUUUAUGCAAUUACCCAACGGGUAAACGGCUAUGUGGGUAUGAACAUAAAUGGUUAUGAGUAAAUAACCGCGGUUACCCGCCCGCUAUAACCAUUGCACAUCCCUAAUAGAGAACAUACGAGAAUAGCCGCUUGGAUGGUCAAUCCAAGAAGAGAAAAUCUUGCCACAAUCACGGUACUUGAAAAAAAAAACAAUUUUAAAGGAGGGAAACAAUCGCGCCUUUUUUUUAAUAGACUCUGUCGACGAUAUUCUUGACAAAUAGUCGGGUGAGCUUAUUUUUCACAACAUUUUAUUUAGGACUAGGUUCGGUUGGCAAAUCGUGUCAAAUUUCUUGUGCCAUUUGCCAGCCACAUAUACAUAAUUACCAAAAAUCAGUUACCGUUCGCCAACCAUCUUCUUGCGGUUGCCAAAAAUCGGUUCAACCAAAAUGAUUGGCUGGUUCGGUUGGUAAAUGGCACAACCGGUGGUUUCCACUUCUUCCUCGCUAUCUUCUAGUUGCAAGGGCUCAAUUUGAUUUUCAGAUUGGGAUGCUUGUUCGGUUGCAUUGUGUGGUUCAUUUUGGGUUAAUCCAUGUUGUGCACUAGCAAUUAAUUGGCUAGACUCCAUCAUCCUAAACAUAAGCAACACAUAUACAUUCAAAAUCAUAUAUAUGUACGUGUAUAUAUAGUAUCAGUAAUCAUCAUGUUAUCAAUUUUGUUAACAAUAUUUUCUAUAUUGAUUAUGGCAUGAAUCAUAUACAUAUACAUAUAUUUUUUAAACCCUAAAACUAAGGAGUUAUUUAUUUUCUAAGCCCUAAAAUUGAGGAGUCAAGCAUGUAAAAAAAUACUUAAAAUAUCUAAAUAGAAAAAGAAAAAAAAAAAAAAAAAUAUAUAUAUAUAUAUAUAUAUAUAUCGGUAGGUAUGGCAUACCGCCGACAUACAAAAUCAAUUACCAAAGCCAUGCCAUUAAUUGUCGGUUCGGUAAAAUGCCAACCGAUUAUGAAAAAAUGCCAAAACUAUACCAUACCAUUUUGAGCCAACCGGUAUGGUUCGGUCGGUAAAUCGGCUUAUGGCAAAAUUUCUCACCCCUAAUUUUAUUUGUCGCCUUAAACCUAUUGGUUUCUAGCCUACAAUUUGGAUAUUUUGUUGGGGAAAGAUUUUUGUACCAAUAAAAUUUUGCUUUGUCAGCUUAGGAUUUGUCGGCAAAAUGACAUUUUCUAGUCGUUAUAAUAUUAGGUAGAUCAAAUUUGUAAACUAUGUGAUGUGUCACCAAUAGGAAAAAAAUUCAGUGUGCUGAAAAUACAGUCUAGAACACCAAGUGUCAUAAUAUAUACUUGGUUGGAAAUUUUUUAUUUUCAAGUUUCCAACUAAUUGUAUUGUAACAGUUGGUGUUCCAAGCUAUUUUCUCGAUGCGUUGGAAAAUCUCUUCACCAAUUAAAAAUAAACAUAUUAAUUAACACUUAAGUAAUAAUCAAAGUAUCAACAACUACGUCAUAAAAUUUACGAAAUAUGAUCUUAAUUAAUGAUCUCCAUGGCAUUACCCUUUAUCUUAGCGUAUACGUACGCCUUCACAUGUUUAUUUGCUGAUAUGCAGCUUGAGUAAAAAUUUCUUUUUAAGAACAUAUAUGUGAAUAUAAACAUAUAUAUCUAGUGAUCCAUGUUGCGUUAUUUAAAAAUAAACAAAUUAAUUAAUUAAUAAAUGAACUGUGUGCAUGUCUGUGUAGAGUAAUCCAUAUGCAUGCUUGAAUCCUGAUCACCACGAAACCAUAAUAUAAGCUACUCAAGGCCCGGAAGCUAGGAUUGAAGAGAAAAACACCCAGUCAGAUUAAGCCAAUAUAUCAAAGUUAAUACUUCGAAAUGUAAGCUUUAAGAUAGAAAAAUCACUUACUACCUUGAGCAGUCGAGCUUCUUCAAUGGCAUGAAGCUUUUAGCAUGAGAUUGACUGCAUCACAACUAAAAUUUUCUCUUGGAAACUACAUAAGGAAUAGCAUGUAUACCUAUAACGUUGAGAAAGUACGCCAAUUUUUUCCUUCUGCACAUUCAUGUUUAAAAGUAAUCCUCAAAUGAACUUGCCCACAAUGAAAUGCAAUUUGAGGUAGUCGAGUGUGUUCCAUUUCCAUUCCAUGGGAAUUACUACUAAACUUUGAGAUGGUAAAGGAUUCAUGAAAUUUUUUACUUUUGAGAUAGCCUCUUUAACAUUUCUCGACUAUAACAAUGAGGGAAUACUUCACCUUGUAUCAAACAAGGGAGAGCGAAAAUCAACUACUAAUAGCAUCACAGAGCCAGCAGAAGAUUGAGGAGGCCAUGAAGAGGAGAGAGAAAAUACACUCUUUUUUUUUGUAAGGACAGAGAUAAUACAUUCAGUAAGGGGUACUGAUGUUUAUAUGCAAUGCUGAUUAGGUUUAAAUAGUCCUAUUUAUUCUGUACAGUGCCAAUAUUACCACCCGUUAGUACACUUUCAAGACACUGUACUCCAGUGUGUGCGCUAUGCAGUACGUAGUACUCCUCAUUUUUUGGGGAAAUUCAUUAUUGGUCUUCAUAUCUUCUUUAUUUUCCUUUUCCUCAUUGUGCCACGUGUUUAAAUCACUAAUUGUAGGUAAUCUUUCAAUUUAAUUAAAUCUUAUGUAAAAAAAGAUAUUUAAAUAUCAUUUAGUAUUACAAGAUAGUGAUAUUCCUCUUUAGUAUAAAAUUUUUAUAAUUAAAAGCGUUCAGUUUUUUAAUCUUCAUUUGAAUACUAUCUAUAAAGAAAAAUUAUUCGAAUAAGAGAUCGUUUAUGCAUUCAAAUGUACAAAAUGCAUCGACAGUGUGAGAACGAAUUAAUAUAUUUUUGAUGAAGUACAAUUAUUGAAUACAUUUGAAUGAUCAAAUGAUAUAUGAUUCAAAAUACAUAUUAAGAUAAUAAAUAUAAGUGAAUUGUUAUUAGCACUCCAAGAAUCUUAUUAUACACUCUAAAUUUUCUAUAUUUUGAAUGAAAAAUAAAUUUAUGAAGAGUGUAGAAUGAGAUUUUUUAAUGCUAAUAACACUUCUCUAAAUAUAAUUAUGAAAUUAAUAAAGUAAAGAUACAUGACCUCGUGAAUGAUGUAUGUAUUAUUCAAAAAAUUAUUAAAAACAAAUUGAAAAAGGACGCUGUUGUUGCCACCACUUAUGCAAUGAUCGUCGCUGCCAUCACCAACCCCCAACACCCCAUUACAGCUCAUAAAAGCACAUCAUAAGCAAUUUAUGAAAUAAAUUUACUGGAAUACUAAUUUCCCCCUUAGUUUAGGUCACCAAUGUUUAAAUUUAGGGGUGUGAUAUGCACAUACCUUUUUUUGCUUCUCUCACACUUUUUUUGUUGUUGUCGAAUCAGAUGAAUUGAAGAAGAUCAAUUGACAGAAAUUAACAAGGGGUGUAUGAAAAGUAAAAAUGGAUGUGUAGAUAACACAUCCCUAAAUUUAUCACAACUUUCAUUCCAAAUUUAAUUUUUAUGCGUAGUUUUGUUUGUUCAAAUUUACUUUGACAUUUCAAUUAGUAUUAAAAUCUAAUUUAAAUUUUAGCGUUCAAGCUAGAAAAAGUGUUCCAUUUAAUAUUUAAUCUCAGUUUUUCUCUUUAUUCUUUUAUUCCGAUUUGGUUGCAUCGUAUCUCCAUUUUUCUCGGUGUUGUAUGUUCAUAAGGCCUGGGAAACGUUGGCACGGAGUGAAGGGUACUCACUUUUUGGCCCAAAAUGCAUAAGGCAUGUAGAUAUGUUAAUCAAAUUUUGUAAACUAAAGGAUAUAGAAGUUGAUACUUAGAUUAUAAUUUAAGAUAAUACUAAAGAGACUAAAUUUGCAAACUAAAUGAUGUGUCACCAAUAAAAAUAAGCACGUUUAUCAACGCUUAAGUAAUAAAUCAAUCAUCAACUUUCAUGUCCUUUAGUUUCCAAAAUUUAAUAUACAAAUUUAGUCUCCCAAGCAUUACUCUAUUACUUAAGUAUUGAUUAACAGACUUAUUUCUUAUGGUGACAUAUUAUUUAAUUUACAAAUUUAGUCAACCCAACAUUACUCUUUUGAAAUUGUCUUGUCCACUGAUAUAAUUCUAUUUUUCUUGUGAUCAAAACUUCAAAUGUUAGCAAGUCGCACGUAAAGUCACUUCUGAGAGAAUGUGCUCACAUUGUAGUUGAAAGAUUAUGUGGCUAGCAACAUUACAAAUUUAAUUUGGUAUAAUUUAAAAUAUAGAUUGAGGAAAAAAUGAUCACAUUAACUAGAAACUGAAAAGGUUUCAGCACAGUUUGUUCAAGCAAGAAACUCAAUUUUGAUGCUACCGAUCUUAACAGCCUGAGCGCCGUACCUGGGCACUAAAGUCACCACCACACUCUCAUCAUCUUCAGCACCCAAAUCCUCCAACAGGUCCGUUAACCCCAACCUUAAACAACUCUUGCUCUUUUCCUUCUGCUUAUGUGGAACACUCACAAAACUCCCAGCAAACUCGCUCUUGUCGGGUCCACUCGGUGCCGCAUCCUCAUCGUCCACGUCAUUCACAUACACAUCAAACUUCACAGCCACAUCUUUGUCAAGCUCAAUCCCCUGAAUCACCAGUAUCUCCUCCUCAUCCUCUUUCUCCUUCUUGCUCCUCUUCUUCGGCUUCGGCCUUGACACCACCGUACUUAUCUUUGUCUCCAAAUUUAUUGGAAAAUCUUUACCCGCCACCACCUUCCCCGAUGACGUCGUCUCAGCGGCCUUCGCCACUCCAGCCGCCUUUGCCUUUCUCGCAAGCUUUGUCCGACGUGGCGUCGGUCUAGACUUGAGCCAUGGAAUCUCAACAUCUUCAUACGUAUACCCUAGCUUUUUAUUAUCAAGAGUGUCCCUCACCGUGACCCUAACAAGCUCAGCAUUCUCGUCAUAAAACAAAAACCCCGUAUCCAACCAAUCCUUAUCGUUAAUAUCUUUAUUUUUAGUCCCUAUACUUUUCCAAAUAUUCCACAUUCGAUCUAUAUUCGAAUGGUGCGAAAAAAAUAUUGGAUCCCUUGCAGCGGAGUAAAAAUUCCCCAUGUCUUCAAAAUUAGGUUGCGUGUUAUCUCCGGUCCAUGUAUGAACCGGACCAUGUGGGGUCGUUUCGAUUGAACCGGCCCCUGGAUCUGGUUCGGUGCCAGCCCUGUAGGGCGAACCAAAGAACAACAGCGGUUUCUUGGAGUUGGAAACCAUCUGCCUAUACAUGAUUUUGAGGUUGGCGUCGAUUUGAGCAUCCUUGGACAUUGUUUCAUCCGUGCCGUUAAAGUCAAGAUCGAUGAGAGUCGGCGGCUGAUGGCUGGCAGCGCGGAGCUCGUCGUAAAGCGGAGAGUCCGGGUUAGCGAACAAGGCAGGGAGUUGCAUGCCAGCUGGCGCGUCCCAGUUCCAAAACGGCAACGCGAACGUCGGAUCGUCUAUGAGUUUGGCCAAGAUUCUUUCGUGGAAGUAUAGGUAGUAACGAUGGAAGGGGAAGAAAAGCCAGGAUUGAUGGAUUUGGAGCUCGAGGUUGGGGAAGCCGACUUGAUCGUACGCGCCGUCGCAAUAGGCACAGUGGAUAUCGGCUUGCUGGGUGAAGCUACGCGGAUCGUCGUCCGGGAGGGCUUUCAUGAGCUCGAUGGCUUUUGAAUAUUUUUCGAUGUAGGCUUUAUCCACGGUGUGAGCUGCCGGCCUGACGCGGAGUUUGGUAGGGGAGGGGAAUUUGAAGUCUACGAUUUUUUGGGACGUUGGCGGGCAACAGUUGGUCGGGACUGCUCCACUUGGAAAGUCCGCACCUCCGCAUUUGGCUAGGUCAGGCGGCGACACUGGCUUUGCAACAGCGAAGGGGUCGCUGCCAAGACCAGCCACUCCACCGUACAGGCUUCCGAGACCUAUAAGUACAUGUCUUCUGUCUAGGUUUACUGGAGAAAGGUUUUCAUGGUCGUGAUCGUUGGAGCUAGUGGAAGGGUUUUUGUUUUGGUCACUACUAUUAUUCGUGGCUUUGCAUGAGACGGCUUGUAAAUUGGAAUGCCUAGGGUUUUCAAAUAAGGAAAUUCGGUGAUACUUUUGGGAGAAAGGGAAGAGAGAAGUUGUGGGGAUGAUACUUGUGGUGGAGGUGACGAGUGGAGCUGACAUAGAAGCCAUGGUUACUUGACUCUGAAUACUACGUUGUAUAGGCUUUGCUUUUAUAAUGUGUUCUAGGUUUUACUUUUCUUUGCACAGGUGGCAGGCCGUACACAUUGGCGGUCCUUAAGGGUUUGACGAGGAAUACUACGUAGUCAUUUAGUACAGGGCAACCAUGCACUAUAGCACGUGGCAUGUAAUAUUUACGUAGUCUCAGAAGGUGAAGCGGUUUUGGGCUUCUUGUGUACCAAUAAUAUUUACGUACUCAUUAUUCCACUGGAUGGAUUGCGUGCACGUGAUCUUUAUUCAAACAAAUCACUAUUGACCAUAUAUUGCAAUUGGUUAAUGUUAGGCAAAUUAAAUUUUUACAUCAAAUAAUGUGGUUGCUGAUUAUUGAAUUAUUAUUUAAGUUUGAUUAAUGUGCUUAUUUUUUAUCGGUAAUACAUCAUUUGAUUUGCAAAUUUGAUUUACCUAAUAUUACCAGUUAUAAUUUGUAUAAAUGGACUGGUACCUAACAUUACCAAUUGUAAUUUGUAUAAAUGGACUCGUACCUAACAUUACCGGUUGUCCCAAGAGCACACGCUACUGCUCAAGAAGCAAAGUUCUUAUUUGCCCAAAAAAAAUCAUGGUUUUUUAAUUGAUGCUCUCAUUUUAAUUUACUAGCCCCUUACUUGGCCCUUUUUAUUUAUCAUUUUAUACAUAUUAAUAUUUUGUUUGUAAAAUAUAUUAGUGUUAGUUUUAUCAAAAUUAAAAAUAAAUAAAAAACUUAGCUUUAGUAUUUAGUUAUUGAAAUUGUAAAAAAAGUGAUAAAGUAUUGGGUGCUUUGUUUGAAAAUUUUCAAAAUGAUAUUGUUUUUACCACUGAACCCCUGUUAUAUACAGUGAUGGCUAAUUUGUCAAGUUCUACGAAGUUGGGAUACCCAGCGUUUUAGCAUAUAACAUAGCUUAGUAUUUCAAGCAUAAUUAAUUAACGAAAAAUUAGUAUCCGGUCCCUAGUUUUUACUGUUCAUUGACUAAGACCUUAUUAGUUCUCAAAUUUUGAUUCAAGUCCCUAGCAUUAAUGUGAUAAUGAAUUUACAUGUUUAUUAUAUAAUUUUUUAAUAUAAAAAUUAGUAAUUAAUUUAGGGUUUAAUACUCACACCUCUAUUAAACUUCUAAUUAAUUUUCAAUUCAGACAUUUCCAAAAUAAUAAAAAAUUAAAUUAAAUUAAGUUUGUACCUAUUAGUUUUUUUUUAUAUAUAAAAAGAUUCUCAAUUUUUAAUCUUAAAUGUACAUCUUAAAUGUACCCAUUCUCAAAUAUAUCAAUUUGUUAUAUGUAAAAUGUACCCUUUUUUAAUAUAAAAUCCAUUCAAAAUUUUUAAUCCAUGUUUAAACUUAUAUGGGUACAUUCUUUUUCGUUGAUUUGAGAAUGUAUCCAUGUUUUGGUACAAUAAAUUUUUUGUUAAUUUUGGUUAAUGUACCCAUACAUAUAUGUACACACACACACACACACACACACACAAUAUAAUAGAGAGUAUAAUUUAUAUUUUAUUAUUUUUAAUCCCAUAAAUGAUGGGUUUUAUUUAAAAUCUCAUUAAUAUAAACAAUUAUAAAUUUCAAUUUUUAAUUUUUAAUUUAAAAAAUAUAGUAACUUACAUUAUUACAUUAAUGUCAGGGACCUCAAUAAAAAACUAAAAACUAACAAGGUUUCAAUCAAAGAAUAUUGAUAGCUAGGGACCACAUCCAAAGUGUCCCUUAAUUAAAGGGUAAAUUACAUAGUAACCCCUCAGGUUUGAUGUCUAUUACAACCCCAUACAACAUCUUUAAAACAUUUCACUUUCAUACCUCAAGUACUAUUUUAUUUCAAUAUAAUACAUCUGUUAGAUUUUCCAUCCAUUAAUCCGUUAAAUGCUGACAUGGAUACCACAUUUGUGCCACGUGGCUGCCAAAUGCGUGUCAUGUGGCAAAAAUAAUAAUUUUUAAAUUUAAAAAAAAAUGAAUCUUCAACCCAAAAAAAAAAAAAAAAAAAAAACCCCAAACCCAGAUCCCAUCAACCCCCCCCAAACGAUUAUCCCUUCCCCAUAUCCCCCAUCCCACCCCCCAACCCCCCCUCUGCGACCAACCUUACCAUAGCGCCCCCCAACCUCGCGACCCACCUCACUCAAGGCCCUAAUCCACACUACCUACAACCCAGAAACGAAAAAAAAAAACAAAAAACAAAAAACUCAUCUCCCUUUCCCUGCAACCCAAAUCCCAUCUUCCCUAAUGGGUAUGGAUUUAAGAAGUGGGGUGUGUAGAGGAGGGAAGAGGGUGGGUGCGGAGGAUGGGUAUGGUGGGUUGCAAGGAAGGGGGGUCGGGUAAGAUGAAGAUGGGUUUUUUUUUUCUCUCUCUCUUCUUCUUCUUCUGGGUUGCAAGUUGUAGGUUGGGGUUUUUUUUUGGGGGGGGGGGGGAGGGAGGGAGGGAAGACGACGUGGGGUUUGGUUUUUUUUUUUUAAUUUAUUUAGAAGAUUUAGGUUUUUUGAAAAAAAAAAAAAAAUUCCACGUGGCACAAAUGUGGCAGCCACGUCAGCAUUUAACAGAUUAAUAGAUGGAAAAUCUAACGGAUGUAUUAUAUUGAAAUAAAAUAGUACUUGAGGUUAGAAAGUGAAAUGUGUUGAUGCACAAAACCGAAGGUCUUUGAACAACGUAAAUCCGAUCGUGAAUAUGCAAGUAAUGUAAAUAACACAAGAUGUAUCGUGGUUCACUCCAAUGUUUGGGCUACGUCCACACUGAUUAUUGUAUUUCUCUGAGAGGUGAGGGGGAGAGCUUUGAGAAAGCUUAGAGCUUAGGGGAUGUGAGAAGGCUUAAGAAUUGGCCUCCCUUAUUUGUGAGGGUGAUGAGUCCUUUUAUAGAAUAAGGGAUCCUCACUUAUUACAUAUUUGCCCAUUCCUUUAUUACAUAAUUACAUUUAAGUCCCCUGAGUACUUGUACAAGGUCUAAAUACGGAGGCCCUAAGUAUGGUACAAACAGUAGUCCCCCAAGUCUUCAGUCAAGAGAGUCUUUUGGCUAGAGACUUGAAAUUCUGUCCAUGUGUGAGCCGAAAUAACUAGAUGUCGUCUAGAACUGAUAUUUGAUAUGCGGCAGUGCCCAUUUUGAAAUAAUGCUCAACUAGAAGUAGCACAUGCUGCGAGGCUGCUCUGCUUGUGUUGCCUUGGUUGGCUCGACUUGUGGCGUUGAAGGUGAGAGAGUCCCUUUUAUAGAAUAAGGGCUCGCUCCUCAUUACAAAGAUGAUGGGUUAGUUGGUGCUUGCGGUGAGGCGGAUGCUCAGCUGGCGGCGAUGCUCUCUAAUGAUAGUGAGGGAGUCCAUUUUAUAGAAUAAGGGAUCGCUCCUCAAUACAUAAAUAAUAGGUGCUCUCUAAUGAAAGUAAGGGAGUCCCUUUUAUAGAAUAAGGGCUCACUCUUCAAUACAUAAAUAAUGGGCUAAGUCCCCUAAGUAUUUUUUAUGAGGCCUAAUUGAGGCCCAAUAUAUGGUACAUAAUGUAGUCCCCCAAGUCUUCGGUCAAUAGAGUCUGUUGGCUGGAGACUUCAAAUUGAAUCCAUGUAUGGGCCGAAGUGGCGGUUGUUCGGAAGCGGUAUUUGUAUACCCUGCACUGAAGCUUUAUAGGUGAAGCUUUGCAAGUGAAGCUUUGAAGCUGGAGCUCAGUAAAUGAAGCUUUUGAAGCUAGAGCUUUUGUAAAUGAAACUUUUGAAGCUGGAGCUCUAUAAAGGAAGCUUUUGUAAAUGAAGCUUUUGAAGCUGAUUCACAUGAGUGAUGCUCAUGAAUGUUUAUGUUGAUUGAUAUGAGUGAUGCUUAUGGAUGUUGACAUGAGUGAUGCUCAUGGAUGUUGACGUGAUGCUCAUGAAUGUUAACAUGAGUGAUGCUCAUGAAUGUUUAUGUAUGAUUGAUAUGAGUAAUGUUCAUGAAUGUUUAUGUAUGAUUGACAUGAGUAAUGCUCAUGUAUAAUUUGAAGUACUGGGCAUACUUUUGAUUACCUGGUUGGCGAUAAUAGCGGCAGGGUGCCGAAUAAUUUUUUGUAGUACUGGGCGUACUUUUGGUCACCUGGUUGGUGAUAAUAGCAGCAGGGUGCCGAAUAAUUUUUUGUAAUACUGGUCGUCCUUUUGGUCACCUGGUUGGUGCUAUUUUGAGCUUAUGGGCCUUCGCCCUCUACACAACAUUCCAGCCUAUUUAUUUUGGGCUUUACCGUUUUUUUUAAUUACCCUAUGAUGGGGUUUAUACAGAUGUCUCCGAAAGAUAUGAAAAAUAAAUUACAUCAUUCAAAAAUAAAUCCGACCCUCUGCUCAAUGGGUCACGCCAAUAAUUCUUUUUUUUUAUGCAUGCCAUCACCACCGCAAUUAUGUCUGCUUCUUUUUAUCUUCUUUUGCUUUCUGCUUUUGCUUUUACUUUAUCUUUCUCUUUUGGCAUAUGGCAGACAACGCCAAAACGGAAUAAUGAAUUAUUAUGAGAACAUGAAUCUUAUCUUUUGCCUGGUUUUCCACUAGUGCUCGUGGUAUUCUCAGGAGAUUGGAUCUGGGGGUAGGCGACUACCCCAGCACCUUGCCCUGAUACGUAAUAGCCUGAUGUCCCACUGCCAUCUCCAUACUGGAAGGUGUACGAACAAUGGUUAUUCUGUGUGGAACAAAUAGAAUCCGAUUGAGAUUCAAGACUGCACCUUCGAUCUGAGCAAGAAAUGAAUUGUGACGUUGAUGAACUUCUAGGAGGAGAAGCAGAGGAUCUUUGACUAUGAUGAUCUUUGAAUUCCAGAUGAAACUGAAUAAAAUGCAGGUUGUGGAGCUUGAUGUGGGCCCAGAUCUGCUUGACAGCUUUGGGGCGGGAGGAUUCCUUGACACUGAGGAAGAUUCCCAGAGCUGGAGGGAUGAGAAUCGACUUCAUAAUCCCGAUGGUGGGUUUGUGCUUGGUCGAAAGAUCAUUUCUGGCAGGGGAAAACAUGUACCAUACCUAUUGCAAAUCUUGCAAAUUCUCUGCUUCUCCAUGGAAGAUGAAGAGCAUCGAAUCUCUGUUUUCUCUCUCUCUCUCUAAAACGUUUUCGUUAUAGAGUGCCCCAAUAGAAGUGGACGGGCAGUGAGCAUGCCAUUUAGUGCCUCCUCCAAGACAGUAACUGAUACGGUGGUCUUUAUUGGCACUCCAAGUUUACUAAAAAGGGCAGCAAAAAUAGUAUUUACAGCACCCAAACUUGAAAGAUCUAGCUCCAACUAGUGGCUUUCUGUUUCAACAGCCUGAAAGCCGGCAGUGUCAUACCGACGCCGUUUGUCUGGAUCAAAUAAUAUAUUAUAAGAAAACAUGACCUUCUUGAAGAUAUCAGCUGUUUUAGAGUCAUUAGCAUUUUUGUCAGGAUGGUACUUGAGAGCCAUUUUCCGGUAAGCACUUUUGAUUUCCUGGUUGGUGGAAUUCCUAUUGAGGCCGAGGACCGCAUAAGGGUUUUGUCGGAGCUGCUUCUUAGCUUCUUGCUUCUCCGAUUUUGAUCGGCUGCCCUGCAUUUUUGAAAUUGACGGUCAAUUUCUUCACAAAACCCUAGAAAUUGCCUCUCGAUUACCUCCGAAACACAUAAUUCACGACUCUUGGUUGAAAUUUUUUUUUUUCAUUUCAAAGAAGUGGCGGAGGUAAAUCAGUUGUCACAUAGCACCGGAGCAUGAGGAAAACCUAGAAAACCAAGAGGCAGAGAGACUCCAUGCACAUCUAACCUGGAACCUUGCAGGAGAGAGCAGAGAGAAAGAGACAAGAAAGAUUGAGGGAGAAGCGAUCUUGGUGCAUCGUCUGUGAUUCCUUGGUGAUUUGCUCGAUCGGGACUCUGAAUUCGUGCAAGUCAUUGCUGUUAAGCAAGAAUCGCGAGGAGUCGGAGAGCUUGGAAAUCGAGAAGGAGAGAGGGCCUUUAGUCAGGGCUUGGAGGGUGUCGGACUCCGUCGGCCAAGAUUGGUGCACGGUCACGGCGUCUGGGCCCAUGGCGGUUGUGUAAAUGGGGGAGGUUCUAGGAGUCCAAGAAAGAAGAAGAAGCAGCGACCAUAGAUCUGGGAGUCCAUGGCGCUUGAAAGAUACGGCGAACAAGUCGGACUUGCUGCUGGGCAGCUGGCGGUGAUAAUGUUGGUGCAUGGGUUUUGGAGUGGGAGUGUUUGGAAUGGGUUUUUUGUUUAGUUUCUAUGUGUUUUUUCACAGAGAGAGAGAGAGAGAAGUGAUGGUGUUUAAGGGAUGAGUUUUGGAGCUUAGUGAAUGCUUUUUCUGGAAAAGCCCAGUGAGGUUUGUGGGUUUUUGCAGAUUUUGCAGAUUCGCGGUGGAGGUGAAAGAAUGAAAGAGAACCGACACAACUUUUCGUAUUGAUUCCCACAUACGGCGCCAAAUGUUGAUGCACAAAACCGGAGGUCUUGGAACAACGCAAAUCCGACCGUGAAUCUGCAAGUAAUGUAAAUAACACAAGAUGUAUCGUGGUUCACCCCAAUGUUUAGGCUAUGUCCACACUGAUUAUUGUAUUUCUCUGAGAGGUGAGGGAGAGCUUUGAGAGAGCUUAGAGCUUAGGGGAUGUGAGAAGGCUUAGGAAUUGGCCUCCCUUAUUUGUGAGGGUGAGAAGUCCUUUUAUAGAAUAAGGGUUCCUCACUUAUUACAUAUUUGCCCAUUCCUUUAUUACAUAAUUACAUUUAAGUCCCCCGAGUAUUUGUACGAGGUCUAAAUACGGAGGCCCUAAGUAUGGUACAAACAAAAUGUUUUAAAGAUGUUGUAUGGGGUUGUAAUAGACCUCAAACUUGAGGGGUUACUAUGUAAUUUACCCUUAAUUAAAAUAAGGGCAAAUGAAGAGGAUGGUUGAACUUGUUAAGUUUCUUAAGUGUGUCUAAUUUAAGUGUGUUGUUAAUAAACAUUUAUUAUGGAGGCAAAGAGAGGGAAGGUGCGGCAUAGAAAGAGAAGAGAGAGAUAUGUAAUUGUGAGUUGUGUUUUAUUCCAUCCCAUUGUGCAUUUAUUUAUAUUAGUUGGGAAAGUUAAUUCUUUAACCUUUUAGGAUUACAACUCUAAUAGGAAAAUAUAUAAUCUAAAAGAUAUGGUAGAAUCCCAUAAGAAUAUCCUAGAUAUGUUAGGAUUUACACAAUCAUAUUCCUAUUCCAAUAGGACUGCAAAACAUUUGUAUUUUUUUAUAAUUUUUUUGAUAAUUUGUUGGCAUUUUCAAUUUUUGUUAACAUUGAAAAUAUAACGGUUCAGAUGAAAAACCUUUGGAAAUCCAACAUUGAAAAUAUAACAGUUUGACGUUGGGCUGUGGUGAAGGAGGCUGGGCUGUCACGUGGGUGGGGCCCUCCCUCUCCCACUUGGUGAUUCAAAGGGCGCAGGCCCGUGCAACAAUUGAGGCAGCCCAUAGAGAUCCUGCGUUUCACCCAUUUGCCAUUUUUUCCACCGCUGGAGCACCAAAAUUCGGUCCAAAGGCAGGGGUUCCAAUUGCAUGGGCAAUUUGGUUUCCGCUGGAGGUGCUCUUUGUCGACUUUGUUUAUUCUUUCUUUUUAGCUUUGCAGUAAUAUUGAAGUAAUCACUCCAAUUGUAUCCGAACUUUUGUUGUCCAUCAAUUUGUAUCAAAACUAUUGGUUAAUUUACAUAUUCAGACUAACCUUCUCAUUAUUUUUAGUAUUUUUAUCAUAAAUAAUAUCUAAAAUAAUCACAUUUUAUUCAACAACCACUCAAUUAAAAAUUAAUUAAUGUUGUUUCUAAACCAUUACAUCGAGCUUUUGUAAAUACACAUCAAUAUUGCAGCGAUCCGAGGCAUUGUUUUCUACGCCUUGGAUUUGGCGAAUUGGAAAAGAGAAGAGUUACGAGUAAAAGUCCCUCACAUUAAGAGGGCUCCUCCUCGGGGAGAUGAAGAUGAUGAUCUUUUGUUUUUGUUUCUUAAUGAUUAAUCCACGCAGCAACAUAUAAUUAGAUUGUUGGGAUCUACUCAAGUUCCAUAUCACGCACUAAUAUAAAGUUUGACAAACGAAACGAAAUAUGUGCUCUCGAAAGCAAAAUGAGGGCACUGCUCCAAGAACAGGAAGGGCUCCUUGUCGAGGUUGCCAUCCGCCAUGAGGGAAAACCGGAAGAAGUUAGACAACAAUGAUGACAUCGAUUUGCAACACCCAUAUUGGGACAUCAAACUGUGAAAUAAAUACUCAAAACUCCUGGAAAGUCCUCGGGACAACAAACUUUUAUCUCCUUCAAAUAUUUCAUUUUACCAAGUUUUAUGUUUGAAGGGAGGGAAAAAAAGAGAUGAGAGAAUCCUACUCCUUAUUCUUGAAUAUAUUCAGGAAUAACUAUUGAAUAAAGAGAGAAUGGAAGGGGAUCGAAAGAGGAGGGAAGAUAAUUCUAGUCCCAAACAUAAAAAGGACCACAACUUUUAAAUUAUCAGCACGAUCAUCAUCUGAUUGAAGAGACCAUUCAUUGUGAAACAUAUCGUCAAUCAAUAUGUCUAUAUCUAUUUAUAUACCACAUUUUUGGAGUAGGAUUCUCCCCCCUCCUAUUACCAUCCCCUUCCAUCCCCUUCCAUCCCCUCCUUUCAUACUUUUUUUUUUCUUAUUCUCUAUAUAAAAAAUUCAAAACAAGAUGUAGAUGUGUCGUAAUCGCAAUAGUUUAAAUAAAAGGAGAUGGAAGGAGAGAUAAAUUACGAGGGGAGAGAAUCUUACUCCCACAUUUUUCUUCUUCAUAAACAAAAGAGAGGUUCUAGAUUACUUGACUCUAUGCCUCAUUUUUUUCAUCAAGUAUUUGUGCUAAACGGGUUCAGUUUCAAGUAUUUUAGUUUUUUGUCAAAAUUGAGAAAACUGAAAAUCAAACAUUAAUAUGCAAAAUUAAAAAAUCAACACAUAAUUAUUUAGAAAUCGCAAUAGAAAAGAAAAAAUGGAGGUUUGUGAUGAAAAAUCUUUUAUACUAAGUAAUUUAGUAUCCUUAUGCAUGAAGAUAAUCAAUUCGUUCGUUAUGGUCAGACUCUUUUUGAAUUUUUGAACACAUUCUCCAUAGGGCCUUCUUAUUUGUUCCUUCUCCGAGUUGGGGUUAUGGAAGAAGUAAAAGAAGGAACCAAGAAGAAAGUAUUGGCAACAACCGAUUUCGUUACGGGACAACUCUUGAUAUUCAUAUCGAUCUAUUAUGUACCUUUGCAUCUAGCAUUAGACAAUAACUGUCAUAGCUUUACCAUAUUUUUUUGUUUCAUUUCUUCUGAAACAAUAACACACACUUUUUUAUUAUGUGUCUAAUACUAGGAAUUCAAUACAUAAUCUUAGCAUUCAAUAGUUAUUCCUGAAUAAUUUCAUUUUUCAAUUGAUCAACCAUUUCAUUUUUCCAAGUUCAAUCAAUGUUAGUCACAUUAGUCAACAUUUAUAUAUUUUGAUGCAACAACAAUAUGUUAUUUGUAACAAGUGAUUUUGCUAGUUGGUUAAUUGGUCACAAGUUAAUGUUCGGUUCAGUUCAGCUUUUCUCUCGAUUUUUUGCGAUUCGGUUUUUUCGAUUCUCUUUAGAUUCGGUUCGAUUUUGUUUUUUUAUUUAUACUUAAUUUUUUUUAAUCUGAAAACACCAAGAACAACACAAGCAUACUCAAUCAAACAACUAUCCUUCUCCACAAAUCACAGUAAUAAUUACAUUCAUUUAGCUAAAAUGCAAAUAACUAACAAACUCACAAAAAUCGAAUAAAAACUACAAAUUGCUUACUCUUUUUCUUUGGGUUUCACUCGAAAAGUGUCGGUAAAAUUUAGGGUUUGCAAGAACGCAACCGAAAUCCAAAACGGAGGCUCUGUGGCUUGUGGGCUGCUAUUGAGUUCCAGUACGGAAAACCUUGCUUACUCUCUAUCACGGUACAAAGUAUCAGUACCUUUAGCACUGUAUUUGGUAGAACCAAAUUAAAAGCUAACAUCAAUAACAACUACCAGAGACAUAAGCUCUUAUCAAUGCUUUGGAAACAGUCAUGUAUCUCCAAGUGUAAUGAUAUAAUUAGUAAGAAAUUUAAAAGAAAAAUGGUGAUUUCAUAUAAAAUCAAUAAAAAGUUACAAUAUUGACAAUAUAUCAACAAUUUUUAUGGGGUAAAUUACAUAGGACCCCCUCAGGUUUGAGGUCUAUUACAACCCCAUACAACAUCUUUAAAAUAUUUCACUUUCAUACCUCACCUACUAUUUUAUUUCAAUAUAGUACCUCCAUUACAUUUUCCAUCAAUUGAUCCAUUAAGAGCUGAAUUGGUUGCCACAUUUGACACGCCCCGAUCCCGAUAUCCUCGGGAUAUCAGGAUGGUCACGUGCUGGCCGACACCCGAGGGUGACGAAAGCCAUUUAUUGAGUGCAAUUGCUGAAAAUAAAGGAUAGAUAAAACUUAUAAAUGUAAAAGAAUAAGGAAUAUGCAUUUAAGGAACGUGUUCAGAGCAUACAACUAACUAGAACACUAAAAGAAUGAUAUAAAAUGGAAUGAAUAAAAGAAUGAGUCUUACACCAAGAGGACUCGAAGAUGCCGAUGCGGAAGUACCUUGAUUGUCGGGAUUGUACGCCUCGAUCCUAAAUCCUGAAGGGGGCGCAAAACAAACAUGAGUGGACCAAGUUGAUAUAUAUAUAAUAAAACAGUUAUCAAUAUACUAACCCCCAGGUUUAUGAAAACAAAUAUAUAAUGAUGAACAUAGGUUUUCCGAAACCUAGCAUGAUGUGCAGUAUCUCAAAUCAUAACUCAUAUAUAAUAAUCACUAGUGAAUUGUCCGAUAACCUGCAGGCCCCAUGCCGGCUCCCCGUCUCUGAGCAGACAGUCAGAGGAAAAUACACUUCAGGCCCCAUGCCGGCUCCCCGUCCCUGUGCUAAAUAGCCAGAGGAAACACACUCCAGGCCCUAUGCCAACACCAAACCGUCGCCCGGGACGGACCGGAAUCUAUUCCUACGUCCCGUAGCGGAAAUGACCACUAGGUAAGUACAAAACCAUUGAACAUACAUAUAUUGAAAAACAACUUCAUAGUAUAAAGUCAUCCAUCAUCUAUACUAUAAAGAGGUGUUCGAAACAUGUUCUAAAUAUCAUAUCGUCAUCCAUCAGAUAUUCUAUAAGAACACGGGUUAUAGGAAAAAUAGUAAUAAUUCAAGGUAGCCUCAGUAAGCAUGUUAUCUCAAAACGUUUCAUAAAACGUAAUCAUUAAAUCAUGCAUUUCAUGUAUGCAUUUCUACUAUUAAAACAUGCUUUUGAAGGGGUCCACUCACAGUACUUAGCCGCCGAAGAGCCACGCAAACUAACGUCACCAAUAUUGCCCCUAAGCACAUAAAUGGUCCAAUUAAUAAAACUAUAUAAUAGCAAUUGGAUUUGGGAAAACGGACGUUGGAAACGGAUUCAGAACGUCGAAUUACCCUAAGAAGGGUCCCGGACGAAAACCCGAAAAGUCAACUCUAAAGUCAAUGUUGACCGGAGGUCAACGGUCAAAUUAGGUCUAACGGGUUUUAGGCUUGAAAUCCGGAUUAGGGUUUAGGUUAAAUAGGAUUAGGAUUUAUUGGGUUUUGGAAUUCUAAGGUUUUUGGGUUAAAAGGGUUUAGGGUGAAAAUGGGUGGUUUGGGCUUAAUCCCAAACUCACACACAACACACACACACACUACACAAACCCUAAAACACACACACACACACGGGCUGCACUAGGGCAGCCCUCACAACACUUCACAAAGGCCCUAAGGCCUUAUUAAAGGACAGGGCUUUAAGCCCUUUAAAGGAUACUGGCCCAAGGCCCGUCAAAAUAAGGCCCGAGGCCUUUGGGUUUUAAAAAGAACAAGAACAAAUUUAAAAGAAAAGGGGCUGGGGUCUACUGGGCUAAGAUAUAACGGGCUUAAGGCCCGUGGGGUUUUCUAAAGGGCCUGAGAGGCCUGGGUUUGUCGAAGGAGAAGGCCGGAAUUUCGGCCGGAAAACCACCCAACUUUAAAUGGCCAUAACUUUGUCAAUACUCAACGAAAUCAAGCAAGACAAAAAUGAAAGUUGUAGCCCUUGAAGCGACGAAGAGAAUGGUUCCUCACACGACGUCUAACUCGCCGUGGUUUGGCCGGAAAAUGCCUCGAAAUCCGUCGGACUCGCCGGAAACUGGGUAAGAUUCAAAUGAGUAUAACUUCUUCAAUACUCAACGAAAUUAAGUGAAACAAAAAGGAAAGUUGUAUUACUCGACGAGACGAAGAGAUUGAUACCUUACACGCCGGCCAACUCGCUGUGGUUUGGCCGGAAAUGGCCUCGAAAGGGGCGGUGCUCGCCGGAGCUUACUCCGUGCCGUCGAACUCGCAGGGUAGGGUCCGGGGUUCGUUGCAAGCCUCUCUUCGAUGGUGACUCGGUCCUAGUGAGUCCAGGGGAAGAGAGAGAUGCGAAAGGUUGAGGGAGAGAGAGACGGGAGAGCUGAGAAAGAGAGAGCUACGGGAGGGAGAAACGAAGAAGAAGAAGAGAGAGAUCAGAAAACAUAAAAAAAAUAAACAAGGUGGGCCCCACGGGCUCACCAAUUAAGGCUUUAAAACAAUUUUAAAAUAUAAAAGAGGGUUGGGGUGUUUCAACAUUUGUACCACGUGGCAAAAAAAAAACCUAAAUCUUCUAUACAAAAAAACUAAAAAAACCAAAAAAAGCAAAAUCGAACACUCCACCCCGCAAAAAUCCUAGCAUCUUCCUUUUAUUCCCCACAACCCCAAAUUCCCCCCCAAAACCCCUAAAACCCAAACCCUAAUUCCUCCCCCACAUGAAGAAAAUCCCAGUCCAAUUCAAUCCCAAUUACCUCAAAUCCCACCAUAGAAACCCUAAAUUUUGGUUCCUCAAUCCCUAGAUUUCCCACGCCUCUGUUGCCUACACCUUAUCAAUCUUUAGCUUUCUCCCUCAUCCCCUCCAUGAACGACACUUUCUCUCAUCCGCUGUUCCCCAGCAACGGCACCGAUACCUACGAGGCCUGGUACGGCAACAUCCAGUACCUUCUCAACAUCUCCGCCAUCGGCUCAUUCUUAUGUGUCUUCUUUUUCACCUUGGUCAAGCUUUGAAGCGAUCGCCGCCGCAUGCCCGGCUCGUCCUCCCUCGUUGCUAAGCUCUUCGCAGUGUGGUAUGCUACCUGUCGAGAGAUUAUGCUCCCAUGUGGCGCUGAGGCCAUAAUACUCACGCACCCAUCUACACACCCACACCACCACUACCGUGGACUCUCUCUCACUCUCCCUCGUCUUUGUAGAGCUAGGUGAAGCCUAGAAACCGAGAACUAGCUCCAGCAAACCCCGUGAGUUUCGAGCCAGAUCCCUGCCGACUCCGACCAUCCCAUGACCAAUCUAAGGUACAAAACAUUUCCCCUUGACUCUAUGCUCUUUUUCGUAUGUAGAUCGUAGGGAAAAGCCCACAGAAUGAGAGAGAAUAGUGACCUGAGAGAGUCCACGGUGAUGGUGGUGUGUAGAUGAGUGCGUGCGUGGGUGUACUGUCGGGGAUAGAGUCUGAGAGAGAUAGAGAGUGAAAGAGUCUGAGAGAAGAGUGACUUGCGAGAGUGAGAGAUUCGAGAGAGACUCGGGAAAAGAUUUAUGGGUUUGGGUUUUUCUGGUUUUUUAUUUUUAUAAUAAUAGGGUUAAUAUUAUAAUAUUUUUAAUGUAUAAAAAUUUCUUUUUUGCCACGUGGCAGCCACAUCAGCACAAAUGUGGUAGUUGUAGAUGCAAAUUUCUUCCUCUUGAUCUUGGACAAUUUUGCACCUACAAAACAAUUAACACCUUAGGUUAAGGCCAAAAGCCUCACACACCCACAAUGAAUGGGGGGCUUUGGCCGAAGAACCUCUGUUGCCAAAGUUAGAAUUUAGAGAGAAAGAGUCUUUACAGAAUUUUGGGAUUUUUGCCAAAGUGUUGGAAUGGCUUUCUGGUGAGAACGGGAUCACUUUUAUAAGGAUAGGAAGUGGUCGGCCUAGCUAGGGUUUUUGGGUUUAAUUUAGGUUUAAUUCUUCAAUUUAUUUGGCUAAUUAAACCCUAAAGAAUAAAUUGGUGGUUACAAAAUUGAUUAUUUGUAUAAAUGGGGUAAUAAAAUGGAGAAAAGUGAAAAAGGUUAGGAAAAGGGAGGUAGCUAGCUUCUUAGUAGUUUUAGGUGUGAGUGGGUGUUUUAAUUGAUAAUUAAGGGAUUGAUUAGGUAAUUAAUCCCUUAAUUAAACAAUUUUUAGGGAAUAUGAAAGGAAAUUAUUAUUUAGCUAAUUGAUUAGCUAAAUAAUGGAAUACAAAAUAUAUAGAAUAAAUUAGGCUUUAGGUAUUACCUUAUAGAAAUGAUUUGAUGAAAUAGGCUUUAAAUUGUUAACUAUUUUGGGCACUUUUGACUUGGUUGAGGAUGAUUGUCUGCCGCUCGCACGUAGGAAUCUCGAUAUGCCUUAAGGGUAUUUUUGUCCUCUUUUACCCAAAAAUCCACGUGUCGCCUUGUGAUUAUUUUUGGCUCCACAAAUGCCCCCACACCUGUUGGGCUGCUCGCAGAAAAUGGCAGCAGGUGUAGAGAUCAUCUUGCUUUAGGAAACGUAGGACUACUUCCUCUUUAGAUGUAGAUUCUCUCUUUAAUAGGAAAUUAGGUUCUUCUAGGAAAGGGAAAUAAAUUUCUGUUAAAGCCUAUUUAAGUCUACCUUAAGUGGGUUAUUAAAUCAACUUUGGAGAGCGAUUUCUUAUACCCUACAAGAGAGAGGGAGCUUAGAGAAUAUUUGUUCCCCCUCUUCUAGCAAUCUUCUACAUCUUUCCCGUGCAAAGGAUCGUCUUUCGUUGAUUUCUUCGUCUUCUCCGUGCCGCACCGAUGUAAGAAAAAUUUAAUUUUUUGCUUAUCUUCUUCUUGGAUAGUACUAUUACAGGGCAACCGUUAAGGUAGUGCGGCACGUCUACUGGCAGGGGCUAGGAGUUGGCUCGGCAUCGGUCGAUGAGGCAUUAUGGCAGGGGCCACUGCUUAGGCUGUUUGGCUUGGCUAGAGCCAAUGGCAGCUUGUGCGGCUGGGGUCGCGGAUUGUGGCGUUGGGGCGCAAUGCUAGGCGAGCCACAUGGUUAAUGUCCUUUAGGCUCUUAGACCUUACUCGGGCCAGGCUAGCGACUGAAAGAAAUGAGGAGGUCGUGGGCCUCAUGGGUUGUUGGAAUGUUGGGCAUGCAGGCCUCCUGUCUGCUAGAAUGCUAGGUUGAGCUCCUCUGCUGAGUACCGUGAAUGGCGUUGGCUGCUUAGUUCUUUUUACAGAGAGAAAGGUGGGCUGCUCCCGAAAGAGGAAGUAAAGAGGAUCAAGGUGGAUGCAUUGGCUCGUCUAAUCGCUGUCGUGGAACCUCCUAUGAAUGAAGAUGGAAAUAAGAGAUCUUCCCUGCCUACUCAAGAGAUGCCGAUCGAGAAAAAUUGAAGACUUUCUCCACUGCUGCUCAUGAUGAUUUGUCUGCUGUCGAUAGGCCUGUGAUUGGCAUGACUUCUUCCAAUGGGAAGAAAAAUGAGGCUGCUAGAUCUGAUCAUGUGGUGCCUUCCAUGUUGAGAAUUGCUAGUACAAUUGUUGAUAAGAUUGCUUAGCGCAAAGGUUUUAUCAUGCCCCCAGUACCGAAGUCUGUACCAGGACUUUCGUUUGGAGCAAAGUCUGGUUCACCUUUGGAGAUACUUGCUAUUAUGAAAAGUGGUAAGGUGGACUCUGCUGCUAAAGUGGCGUCAAGGCCCACUCCCUUUGUUGCUGAGACUGAUUCGCCUGCUAGGAAGGAAGAUACUACUUGUAUGGGCAGCUGUGAGAAAUCCACUAAACUUGCUUCUGGGGAGGCUGCUGAGAUCAUUGUGCUUUUGAAACUAUAUCUGCUUGAAGACAUGGACGCUUGUGCCAAGUUUGUUGAUGGCGGUAGAAAGGUUGUUUACCUAAGUUCCUUUGCGAAACAUACGACCCAAUAUAAAAUGACUGCUCUGCUUACUAGGAUGCAUAAAUAGCAAGGUUGUCAAGGAGGUGGCGAAGAUUAUGGCAGCUAAAGCUUAUUCCUCAGUCGAGGAGAUCAAAAGGUUGAAUUAUGAGCUUGUUGCUUUGAAAGAAAUGGAAGAACUGCAACACGUUCGUGUUAGUCUGUUUGAGAAGAAUGAGCAGCUAAACGGUAAGAAUGAUGGGCUUGAGGUUUCUCUAUUUUUCCGGAAGACUUGCUUACUUUUACUUUUGAGGCUUCCAUUGGUGAAGUAGUUGGAGACGUUAGUGCCCAGGCUUAGGCAACCGGGGGUGAAGCACCGGAUGAUGCCGCUGCUAAGAACGUUACGGCUGCUGAAGGUGUGGAGACCAAGUAGUCGUGGGAUGUCCAAGCUGCUGUAGUGUAGUAUUUUAGGUAGCUUUUAUGAUUUUCUUUGUUUUUCCUUGUAGCUCUUGUUUUGCUUGAACUUCUUCGGCCUUUGCUAGUUGUAUAAACAUGUUUUCCUUCGCUUUUCUUCAUCUUCGCUUCUUUUGUUCAUGCCCUAACCUUUAGACUUGAUAGACCAAUGGCAGGCAUGCUACUUUUUUAUAAGCAGACAAGCUCGCGUAGCCUAUGCAGCCGUAAAUGUUGGUGUAGAACUUUGCAAAGUUGUUAGCCAUUAGGUUGGUAACCAGAUACCUUACUUACAGAAGUAGACAAGUCCGCAUAACCACUAGGCUAUUAACCUUGACUUUCUCCAAUUCUGUAGGUUGCGUAGCAAGUAUCACAACACUUUAGGAAUUGGUAUAGGUUGCUCCGCACUUGGCAGAGGUGAAGCCUAUCGACUACGUAGCAUGUCGGCAGUGGAUAAAACUUCCAUAUAUGCGCGCUAGCUUGUUUAACCUUUCACAAGAAUGUGCGGUUGUAUAAGUCUAGCACGGUUUUACUGCUUGAAGGGCAAGCCGUAGGCAGUCUUCCGGAAUCCGUAGGCUACCUUAAUGUACUCGGUAGCAGCUUUAGGGUUCCAGGGCAGCCGUCUAUAGAGCGUACUGCGUAAUGUGCCCCAUCCGUCUCUAGCUCCCGGUUCCCCACAGAUUAGACCAAGAGACCCAAAAUCCUUCAGUUAGUUAAGCCUUGAAAAAGACCAUUGUGGCUACUUCUAGGAAUCCCGGCUCAAGCCAUCGUACAUCUAGUUAUACUAGGGUAGCCAGGCUCAUCAGCGUCUGGAUAUUCGGAGUGUAAAGUUUAUCCUCCCGUCUUAGAGAGCUGACCCAUAUGAGUGUCGGGGAAUUGGUUUACCCUCUCACACUAGAGAGUAAUUAAUUUACCCUCUCGCACUGGAGAGCAAUUAGUUUACCCUCUCGCACUGGAGAGCAUGGUUGGUCCAUCGGGGGGCGCAAUUCCUGCGAUGAGUCCCUAAGAAGGGCGCAGUCUUCUUUUGAAGUGCAGGAAUGAUUAGUUGUUAUAAGCAUGUGAUCGAGUCAAGUUGUGAUUACUUCUAAAUUCCUCAUUGAAAAACGAGUGAAACGAACGAGAACUUAGCCGUAAGGUAGGAACUGCAUAACAACUGGAUAGUCCUCAACUUGUGUGGUGGUACCCAUCGAGCUUCUUGAGUCUUCGGGCUUUGAUGUAGUGGGAGGUUACACAUGGCACCUUUUCAGAUUGUAGGCGCUCUACUGCUUUUCGAACUUUUUUUUUGUUGUGUAAUUGCUCUUGCUGCCUACUCGGCUAAUCUUAUACAGACUUUCUCGGAUGAGAUUCAUCUUUUUGGAGCUUCUCUGCUGGCAGUGAUGAAGGCUUUUCUUAGGACUAGAUCUCUGGGCUGGAACUGCCAGAUUUUGGCCUUUUUGUUGUGGCUGGAAAAGAACCACUGCUGGUAAGUUGUAAUGCAGAUGAUAGUCUGCUCGCACUUCUCCUCUGCCAAAUUUAAGCUUGUGGCCAUCUCCUUUCGGUUGCUCGUCUUUUGGUGUUGCGAUGUGCCCAUAGACAUCCAGGGAGUUUGUCUGGCCAUUUUCUUUUCUUAUUGGUAGGGGAUUUCUUGUGGCAGUCGAGGAUCAUCUUAGUGGAUGUUUUGGCCAGCCUAUUGCCUUGAGGAUAUCUUGGCGUAGACAUGUGCUGCUUGAUGCCAUAUUUUUAGAAGAAUUUCGCCAAAUCUUUGCCCACGAAUUACGGGCCGUUGUUGGUGACGAUGGAUUAAGGUAUGCCAAAUCGGCAAAUGAUGCUCUUUCAUAUGAAGCGCUCUAUGUCCGUUUGAAUUGUGAUCGUCAUGGGCUCUGCUUCUACCUAUUUGGUGAAAUAGUUGGUUGCCACGAUCAUCAUGCAUUUGCCCUUAGUAGUCUGGCUGGUGAUUAGCUGGGAAUCAGAAUGAAUUGAAAGCUUUUUCACCACCAAGUCUUUUGUCACUCGAAGGCCUGCUAGUGGGGCUUUGUACUCUGCUUCGUUGUUAGGUGCUUUGACGCUUAGAGUGAUCGCUUACUCGAGCAUUGAACCGUCUGGGGUGGCAAGAACCACGGUUACUUAUAAGCCUUUGUAGUUGGAUGCGCCGUCGACAUGCAAAUGCCAGAAAUUUCCAUUGAGGGAGUAGGUAUGGCUAAAGUGUGCUCGGCUACCUUCGAAGCGUCGUUGGGCCGCUUUGUUACAUUGUCAAGGCUAGGUUUGAAGGCGCGGUAGAGAGUCGUGGAGCUGGGGCCAUGUUACAUGUAGCAGGAGAUGCUCAACUUCCGGUAUUAGGCCACUCUAGAGCUGAAUAAUGGAGCAAAGGUCGGCUAGGGUCGUAUGACGCGCAGCAGAAGGUAGUGCUCGACUGCUAGUACAUGUUGCUCUUACGUAGAAUCUUCUGAGGCGACGAGGACAAAACUUGCUUUUAAGUGUUCCUUCUAGUGUUCGUCUGCCCUUGGCGUGUCUUUUGGGCUGAGUUGUUGCGUUCGUCAGAAAACUUUGCAUCUGCCAGGGUUUACGUCUUUAUCAUCACGGGUUUGGAUUAGGCGGAAUAGUGCGUCAUGAUGAUGACUGCGUACAUUUGAAGGUAAAACUUAAGCUUUUGGGUUACAACAACUAUCACCAAAGUUAGCUUUUGAAUUUUUAAUAGCAUCGAGGAGAGCUUUUGAACUAUAAAAUACAUGUAGUUGGGCCCCCAACUCUUCUCGCAUGACGGUACAGCUUAUUUCUACUUUAGAUACCGUCAAACAUGCGAAUAAGUCCUCUGCUGCUUCUAGGGAGGUGAUGUUGGGUACUUCUUCAAGCCCUUGAAUGUGCAUUGGCGAGCCUCAUCCCAAAGUGCAUGCUUCUCUGCCAAAGAAAAAGAGUCUACCAGAGUUAGAUAUUCUUUCAUGAUCAAUUUUCUAAAUAGCGGUGGUCUGCUGGAAGGCCUUUUUGGAAGGCUGCUCUAGCUAUUGAGUCGCUGCAUCCGACUAUCAUUGCCUUCUCUGUUUUGAAUCUCUUCACAUAGUCACGAAGUGACUCCUUUGGGUUCUUUUUUACGUCAAACAAAUGGUCGGACUUCUUUUUGAUCGAGCAAUAAGAUGAAUAUUCUUUGGUGAAAACCAAAGAAAGUUCGUAGAAAUUCUAGAUAGAUUGUGGCGGCAGGGUGUAGAACCAAUCUUGUGCCUCGCCUUCAUAGUGGUGGCGAAUAUCUUGCACAUGAGAUCAUCGUUGUUUCGAUAAAGGAUCAUUGUGCUUCGGUAGCGCUUUAAGUGUCUCUUCGGGUCUUCAUCCCCUUUGAAAGAUAUGAAAUGUUGCAUACUGAACUCGCAUGGAGGCUCUGCCAGCUCGAUCUCAUCCGUGAAGGGUGACCUGCUUAUGUUGGUCAUGUUCCGUCGUAGUGCCUCGUCGGUGACCUUGUUGCGUUAGAAAUCAUGCAAUCGCUUGAUUAAAAGUCUCUCUACUUCUUCCUGAAUUUUCAUUUGUUAGGGUAGCAGAGCUCUCGGCUGCCCCUAGCCAUAACUUACUGGUCUAGGAUGCUCUUCCAUGUGUUUGGCUCGUAUACCGUGGAUGCAGUGUAUGUGGUGCGGUCCUAGUAGGUGAGCGAGUUCUUCGCAGGCUGCUAGUUGAACUUGAGCUGGAUUGAGUGACUACUUCUCUCCGUCCGUCGUGCUGCCUACUCCAAUGUGAGGUGAAAGAUGCUCCUUGCAGGCUUAGCCACGAAUGAACACUUUACCUGGAAGGUUGCUCAUGUUGACUAUCAGAGUAUGACCCUAACCGUGAAUGUAUAUUCACCCGUGGGCUUAGUCGAGAGUGCACGCUCCUCCGCGCGCUAAGACGAGAGUAUACGUUAUCUCGGGAGCCCAAUUGGGAGUGUACACUGCCCGAACGCUCGGCUCGUGGCUGGUCGAGUGGCUGCUUGCCGAAACGCUGCGGGAAAGGUUCGUCUGCCCUUGUCCUACUUCGGGAUACCUUGUUUGGGGCACGUUGGAUUCUGGUGCAUUGCAAAAGUUGAUUCACCAAGGUUGUCUGUUGUGCAAGGGUGCUCGUAAACGCUACGACUUGUCGAGACAAGUGUUGUUCGUCAUUUGGAUUGGAAUAGCUUGGAAGGAAUGUGCCUUCUUGGGCAGUGGAAGGGUGGUAGACUCCGGGCUCGAGAUUUGAGUUGGGAAAUGUCAAAUCUACGAAAAAAUGUGGUGAGAAUGCCCCCGGCUCGAUGGUAGGUCCGGAUGGUUGAGAUAGUCUUGGGCCGACUUGGGCUGCUUGGAAAGCCACGGGAGCAGGCUGGGCCACGAGAGUGAGCUGCUCGGCAGGAGUAGGCUGGGCUACGAGAGUGGGCUGCUCGGCAGGAGCAAACUGCUUGGAGUGUGAUGCACAUGGGUGCGAGGCUUGGGCUCGGCUUGGUAACACAUUGAGUUCGGGUUUGGCUUGGAGUGACAUGACUUGGGCCGUGGCCUUGGUGUCGUGAGCCUUGGAUGGCACGGCUCGGGCAGUGGUAGCUGUGCCAUGGACCUCGCCGCGGGUAGUGGUGACCGUGAUGGCCACCGCGGUGGUUGCCAUGGUGGAGCCCCGUAGUGAUGGUGCCGCUCCUAUGAUCACAUUUAGCCUCGUGGAUCGUCGUGGUCCCAUUUCUUGAAUAUUAGAAUUUUCACUUAUGGAAUUUUCUAAAUUUCUAGCCAUUAUAUUUUUCUUAUACGUUUUAUCAAAGAACCUUUGCAAAUAAAAAAUUCUAAUAAUAAGAACGUAUGAAAAAAUAUUCAAAUGGACUAGAAAAUAGAGAAAAACCUUUUUAUGCGAGAGUCUUCUACGAGUAUAGAUCUCAACUCUCAAUGAAAGCACCAAUUUGUGGAUGCAAAUUUCUUCCUCCUUGAUCCUAGACAAUUUUGCACCUACAAAACAAUUAACACCUUAGGUUAAGGCCAAGAGCCUCACACGCCCACGAUGAAUGGGGGGGCUUUGGCCGAAGAACCUCUGAUGCCAAAGUUAGAAUUUAGAGAGAUAGAGUGUUCAGAGAAUUUUGAGAUUUUUGCCAAAGUGUUGGAAUGGAUUUUUGGUGAGAAUGGGAUCACUUUUAUAGGGAUAGGAAGUGGCCGGCCUAGCUAGGGUUUUUGGGUUUAAUUUAGGUUUAAUUAGUCAAUUUAUUUGGCUAAUUAAACCCUAAAGAAUAAAUUGGUGGUUACAAAAUUGAUUAUUUGUAUAAAUGGGGUAAUAAAAUGGAGAAAGGUGAAAAAGGUUAGGAAAAGGGAGGUGGCCGGCUUCUUAGUGGUUUUAGGUGUGAGUGGGUGUUUUAAUUGAUAAUUAAGGGAUUCAUUAGGUAAUUAAUCAAUUUUUAGGGAAUAUGAAAGGAAAAUAUUAUUUAGCUAAUUGAUUAGCUAAAUAAUGGAAUACAAAAUAUAUAGAACAAAUUAGGUAUUAGGAAUUACCUUAUAGAAAGGAUUUGAUGAAAUAAGCUUUAAAUUGUUACCUAUUUUGGGCACUUUUGACUUGGUUGAGGAUGAUUGUCUGCCGCUCACGCGUAGGAAUCUCGAUAUGCCUCAAGGGUAUUUUUGUUCUCUUUUACCCAAAAAUCCACGUGUCGCCUUGUGAUUAUUUUGGCUCCACAACAACCACGUCAGCAUUUAACAGACCAAUGGAUGGAAAAUCUAACGGAGGUAUUAUUUUGAAAUAAAAUAACAAGUGAGGUAUGAAAGUGAAAUGUUUUAAAGAUGUUGUAUGGGGUUGUAAUAGACCUCAAACUUGAGGGUCCUAUGUAAUUUACCUAUUUUUAUGUUAAUUAUGAAUAGGUCAAUCAUGUAGAACCAAAUUAAAAGCUAACAUCAAUAACAACUACCAGAGACAAAAGCUCUAAUCAAUGCUUCGGAAACAUAGUCUUGUAUCUCUAGGUGUAAUGAUAUAAUUUGUUGGAAACUUAAAAGAAAAUUGGUGAUUUUGUAUAUAAUCGAUAAAAAGUUAUAAUAGUGACAAUAUAUCAGUAAUAUUUAUGUUAAUUAGGAAUAGGUCAAUCAUGUAUUUAAUACUUACAUGCAUUUAAAAUAAACACCUUAUCAAUGUUUUUUUAACUGUGCUCAGUUUUUCUCCUUCGCUUUGGUUUUGUUCUAUUGGAUUUUUCAACUAUCAUUAAUUGUGAACAUAACUGAUCAUUGAGACACAAACAUCCAAGGGAGAGUACCGUGGAACAAAAUGUGGAUAUCUUUAUACAUUGUAUGGUAGUAAACCAUCAUAAACACCAUAAUAAUGUAGAAACGCUCUUGGGGUACCUUUGGAUGAUAACUCAUGUAUUUGUUGCCCUACGUAAAGAUGGCUAAUGAUAAUGGAAGUCUAAUUUUCUCAUCCCAAUCUCUCCUGUCUCUCUUGUUCUCUUUUCUCUAUAGUUUAUUUCCAACAAGUUGUGUUAUUUUUUUUUUUUAGUAUUGUUAAGCAACCAAUAGAUUUUAAUUAGCAGUCUUUGUUUUUUUCUUUUAUAUUUUUAAUCAAUUUCAGUUGCUUAUCCGUUCUAGCAAAUUGAGCUCUUUUACAGCAAUUUUUUUCUUUAAAUGAAAUUAUUAUUAUUAAAAGAGUGAGAAAAUUCGAAAUUAUUACAACAAUUUAAAAAAAAGAAGUUUCGAAUCAUAAACACAGAGGGAGUUUACAACAUUUUAAUUAAGAAAUUAGGCUUCAGCUCAACUCAUCUUUGCAACGUCGGUUCCACUUCACAUCAACAUGCAAUGUUUCAGAAGGUCACGCGGUUUUGGGGUUGUUGUGUACCAAUAAUAUUAUAUAUAUAUAAAUUAGGAUUGAAGGAUACACGCAUUUUGUAGAGCUUAUUUUGUUAUGUAUUUUAAUGAUUUAAAUGCUUACGUUUUUCUUCACUACAAAUGAGUGAAUUAAUGAUUUUAGAAUUUGUCUAAUUUUUUACAUUGAUUAUUUAUGAAUAUUGAAUUGAAAUAUAGACGAUUCAAAAAUCGUUGAUAUACAUUACAAAAUGAACUCCACAAAAUAAGCGUCAAAAUAUGUAUAUAAAAUGGACAGCGUGAAAGGCUUGGAAAUUGGAAUAGGUUUGAAAAUUGUGCUUUUUGUAGCAAAUUGUAGCAAAGUUUGCUUGGACUUUCACAACCGUAUAAAUUAUGCCGCAGCACUCUCUAUUUUCUCUCUCGCUCUAUAUCGUGGUCCCUCUCUCUCGCCGUCCUCGAUUGCUCGAACUCACUAUCCUUUAUUGCUCGAACUCACCGUCCUCAAUUGCUCGAACCCACUGUCCUUUAUUGCUCGAACUCACUGUCUCCAACUUCCUCUGUUUGGUUCCCGAUGAAGAUGGUAAAACAGUAGGGGCAAGAAAUUAUGACAAUGUUAGAUUUGCAUAUUAAUCUGGUAGGGCUACAAUUCUCCAAUCCACACCCCUUCCAUCUAUGCUAGUGUUUGUACCCAAUAUUAGAUAUCCGGUCUGUGCAAUCGAGAUCGUUGAAUGAGAAAAAUUCUAAGCCGUGGGAUCAAAUAUAAUGAUGUGGAUUAAAUAAGAAAAAUUUAAAUGUUUAUCUUGGUUGAAUUACCAUGAUAAUAUUGUGGAAUUAUCUUCUGCAUAACGGGAUAGCGAGAAAAGUCCAAGGGUGUAGGGAAGUUGUGUGGCUGACUACCGCUUUUUUUUAUGGUGUCAUUAGUAGAGUAAUAUCACACUUAACAUUUAUUUGUACCAUCUCUCUAAUAAAGAUAAAGACCAUCAAUGCAUAAAUAAUGAUACAAAUAUAUAAUAAGAGUAUCAUAUUUGUAACUAGAAUAGGAGAAGAAAGACUUCAAGAUGGGGUCAGCCAAAUAAUUAGCGUCAGGAUAAAAAUAUGAGUAAUGAUAUUUGUAAACAUCGAAAUUUCGGUAAAUAAAUGUUGACCGAUAAAUCAAAGUUUCAACGCUCAUGUAUUACAUAAAUUUUACACGUAGCGUAUGUCUAAACAAAAAAUCGAAAUAAGUUGGAAAAGUCAUCAAACAGGACACAUGUCAACACCUGGCAGAAACGACUUAUUUCAUCUGGAAUAUUAUAUUCAAAAUUAGGCAUUGGAAAAUUCUAUAAAUAGAAGCCAAUUUCAUUCAUUUGAAGGAACCAAAAUCAUUAGGCAAAAUUCUUGAAGCUCUGAAGCUCUGAAACUCCGAAACUCUCAAGCAUCCAGGUUCCCGAAGAAUCAAGAAAGCUCUCUUCGUUCUUCGUUCUUCGUUCAUCGUUCAUCCUAAGAUCAAGCUCCAACGGCCCUUUAGAUCAACAAUCAUCCACUAAUUCAAGAUCAAGCCCCGACGGCCCUUGAAGAAAGUGUUCUUCAUUCUUCGUUCAUCGUUCUUCCAAGAUCAAGCCCCAACGGCCCUUUGGAUUAACAAUCAUCCACCAAUUCAAGAUCAAGCCCCAACGGCCCUUGAAGAAAGUGUUCUUCGUUCUUCGUUCAUCGUUCUUCCAAGAUCAAGCCCCAACGGCCCUUUGGAUUAACAAUCAUCCACCAAUUCAAGAUCAAGCCCCAACGGCCCUUGAAGAAAGUGUUCUUCGUUCUUCGUUCAUCGUUCUUCCAAGAUCAAGCCCCGACGGCCCUUGGAUCAACAAUCCACCAAUUCAAGAUCAAGCCCCAAAGACCCUUGAAGAACUUCUACCAAUUCAAGAUCAAGCCCUGACGGCCCUUGAAGAAAGUGUUCAUUGUUCAUCAUCCGUUCAUCCCGAAGAAUCAAGAAAGCCUUAUUCGUUCUUCGUUCAUCGUUCUUCCAAGAUCAAGCCCCGACGGCCCUUGGGUCAACAUCAUCAACAAAUCCACACAUCCAACCGUUCUUCAAGAUCAAGCCCAAAAGCCCUUGAAGAUCCGUUCAUCACCGUUAUUCAAGAUCAAGCCUUAACGGCCCUUGAAGAAACACUCAUCCUCAAGAUCAAGCCCCAACGGCUCCUUGAAGAUCCGCUCAAAUCCACCUUCAAAGAUCAAGCCCACGGCCCCUUGAAGAAACAUCCAACAGUUCAUCCAAGAUCAAGCCUCGACGGCCCUUGGAUCAACGAAACAUCUACAAAUCAACACCUUACGGAGAUCGAAUCAGAUGAUCAAAUUAGAGAGAGAUUGUAACCCUAAAUCAUCAAAAUACAAAUAUUAUUUUGUGCACGUUGUUCUUAUCUCUUUCGUUUCAGGAAAUUUUCGUGUUCACAAUAUUCUUACCAUCUAAAUAUACUAUAAUUUUAUACCAUCUUAUGUGGCAAUUGAGAUGGACUUCCACAUAAGUUUUAAAAAAAUCUCAUGUCAGCUAAGGUGGAUAUUUACGAUUUUACGAUUUUACUCAAUGAUUUUUAUUAAUAAAAUAAUUAAAAAAUAAUAAUGAAACCUACUUGCUCCCGUUUUCAAGCCUCAUCGCUGGGCCUCCUCCCUCUUCGCUCUCCAAUUUCACCUUCCUUCACCAACGAUCGAUGGUGCUCGACCCCCUUCAUCAUUGCCAACUGGCCGAAUAUCUUGAUGGUGCUCCCAGUGAUUGUUUUGCUCUGCCACCAAAUCAAGUUUGCAAUUUUAAUGGUUUAUGCCUUCUGGCCAAGUGUUGGAUUUGAUAGGUUUUUAAUUCCAGCAACAUUGAACAAAAAUAUGAAAAGGAUUGGAUACGAUAUUUUCCUCUGUUCUACUGCUGAGGAUUUUCCGAAUAGAAGAAGAUUUGGAAGACAACCUCUUUUCUUUUUUCUUCAUGGACUUUUGGUUAGCACCAAAAUCUUUUCCUAAUCCUCUAUAGGAAUGAAAAUUUCAUUCCAUGUUAUAUCCCGAUGUUGUCCAAGGUUUUGGCUUGAAUUUUCAUUGGAAUUAUCAUAUGUUGGAUCAGAUCAGGUGGAGAGAUGAAACGUAUCUAACAAGGAAGUUGAACGGGUAGGGUUUGAGCAAAAAUAAACAGAAAUUCCACCUAGGUUGACACCUAAGCUUCCACAUCAUGUGGUAUACUAAAUGUGGUAUAAUAAGAUGGUAAGAAUAGCAUUAUUGAAUGGGUAAUGUUAAGAGAAAUUUUUAGUUGUGACGGGAACACGGAUGGUACACCAUGCGUUUUUAUGUAAAUGGUGGAAAAUUUUAAUUUUUAAAUUAUUAACCUUUUAGCACACAUAUCCCACCAUUUAUAUGAAAACACGUGAUGUAUCACCUCGUGUGAUAGUCACAUUGAAAAAUCUCUCGUAAUGUUAGGAAAACUAAAUUUAUAAACAAAAGUUACAAAUUAAAUGAUGGGUUACCAAUAAGAAUGAUUACGUUUAUCAAUGCUUAAAUAAUAAAUCAUUCAUCAACUUCCAGUCCUUUAGUUUUUAAAAUUUUGUCUAACAUUACCCUUUCAAAACUCAUGAAAAUAAUUUUCAAUUUUUUUAACUGAAAAGUGAAAGUUACUAAACAAGAUUUCAGUUUUUAGCUUUCAAAAAAAUAAAAACAAAAGCUAAAAAUAAAAUGGUUAUCAAACAUCCCUAGAAGUCAUUCUUAGUGAUAGUAAGGUCAUCUCCAACCGAAAGAUCCAGGGGGCUAGAGGGCCGAAAAUAGUCUGAAAACCAUUUCCAAUCAAAGGCCAUGCCAAAGGGGUCGUGGACCCCAUUAGACAAAAAAGGGCCAAAGGGCCAACUGGCUGGCCCCAGUUCCAACAAUAACUAGAUGACGUCAGUUAACCGUUAUUUUUGAAUUUUUUUUUUAACAAAUUUUAACUUUCUAAGCCAUUAAACAACAUUAAAUUAAGUAAAAAAGAAAAUUCCUAUAACUUCCUAAGUCAUUAAACAAUAUUAAAUUAAGUAACAUGAAACAACAUUAAACAAUAUUAAACAAAAUUAAACAAUAUUAAACAACAUUAAAUAACAUUUAACAACAUAAAAAUUAUACAACAUAAAAAAAAACAUUUAAGAACAUAAAAUUUAAAUGCCUACUUCAUGCUUCUUUUGGCCCAAAGAUGUGCAACAAGAUCCUAAUGUAGGUACUUGUUUGUGGCACGAGAGCGUAUCAUCCUAACCGUUAGAUUUGAUUUUUUUUUGUUUUCGGCCAAAUUUUUUUAAAUUUAAAAAUAAAUUAUGUUUGACCUUUUGGCCCUCGAUUGGAGAUAGUUUUUUUUGUGACAUGACUAUGUUUAGCCCUAUGACCCUUUGGCCCUCAGUUAGAGAUGGUAAGAAAUAUGACCCAACAAUGUUCAUUAAAAUAUUAAUUUCUUGAAGAGCCAGAGGGCUAAAACGAGCCAUCCUUCGGUUGGAGAUGGCCUAAGAAGAGACUAGAGAUAGAGAGAUUCCUAUACUUAGCUGUGAGAGUUUCCUAUAUAUGAUUUUCAUUAACAAGAUUGAACUGAUUACAUAGAGAAGAAGAUCAAGUAUGGUUAUUUUUAUUUGGGAGACUUUGGAUGUGGUCCUUAGUUAUGAAUAUUAUUUGAUUGAAAUCUUGUUGGUUUUUAAUUUUUUAUCAAGAUCCCUGAAAUUAAUGUGAUAAUUUAUUUCUAUGUAAGUUACUAUAUUUUUUUAAUUAGAAAUUAGAAAUUUUAGUUGUUUAUAUAAAUGAGAUUUUAAAUUAAAAAAACCAUAAUUUGUGGGAUUAAAAAUAUUAAAAUAUAAAUAUACUAUUGUGUGUGUGUGUGUGUGUGUGUGUGUAUAAAUAUGGGUACAUUCAUCAAAAUUAACCAAAAAAUUUAUUGUAUCAAAACAUGGGUACAUUCUUCAAAAUCACAAAAAAAGAAAGAUAUUAGGCUUAAUAACAUUAGUAAAUUUCUUCGAUUAAACUUGACAUGGAUACAUUUUAAAAUCAAAGAAAAAAAAUGUACCCAUAUAAGUUUAAAAAUGGAUUAGAAAAAAAAAUUGAAUAGAUUUUAUACAAAAAAAGGGUACGUUUUACAUAUAACAAAUUGGUAUAUUUAAGAAUGAGUACAUUUUAAGAUUAAAAAGUUUUACAUGAAUGGGUUCAUAUAAUUAGCAUGGGUACAUUUAGCAAAAUAAAAAGUACAAAUACAAAAAAAUAUAUGUGUACAAAUACAAAUAAACUUUAAAAAAUAUGGGCACAAAAAGAAAUUAAUAUAUGGGUACAAAUUAAAACCGAAAAGAAAAUUGGUACAAGUUAAAAAAGAAUUACAAAUUAAAAAUGGGUACAAACUAAAACUAAAAAUAUAUGAUAAAAAAUUUAGUCAUAAAUAUAAAUAUACUAAUUGUAACAUUUUUAACAUUAAAUGAAUAUAUUUAGACAUAAAAAAUAUAUUUUAUUAUUGAAAUAAUUAAUGAUGUUAUUAAUACCCAAGGACCUUGAUAAAAAAUUGAAAAGAAAUAGAAUUUUAAUCAAUGGAGUAGCAAAAGAAAAGAUGAGAACCUAAUUUCUCCUUUGUAUUGUGUAGACAUUAUAACUAUACAUUCAUAAUAACAUGAGUAAUGUUAUAUUUAUCACAUUUGUACUCUUUCUCCAAUAAAGAUAGGGUCCAUCAACACAUGUGGGUUCUAUUUGCCCAUCAACACAUGCGAAUCUCAUUUUUAUUAGAAAAAUAGUACAAAUAUGAUAUGGAAAUUAUGAUAAGAUCGCAAUUUUGUAAUAACAUAUAUACUCAACUAUUUAUAUACCAACUCAUCUCCCUUUAGUGUAGUUAAUAUUGUUUGUUCAACCAAAAAAAAAAAAACUGAACUUGUCAUAAUCAUUGAAUCCAUUUACCAUGAACAAACGGCAGUUUACUAAACUUGCCCUCAGAGUAUAUAUAAAAGGUGAAUCACAAUCUAUUGCAUUAAUAUAAGGAAACAAUUUAUAGGGUUUGACGGGUGACUUAAUAUGCUAUAUGGCACAAUGAAAAUUAAGUUCACACUUUAUCCCAAAUAAGGUGUUGCACCUUUAAUUUAUGGAUGCUGGUUUGACGUGUGACCGAAAUAAUCAAAUUGUAGCCAUUAAUCAUUUUACAAGUAAUAAUAUGUGGUUUUAUUGUUUACGAUUCACACAACAAUCUGCUAGGAAGUAGAAAAUGCAGUACUUGUCCCUCUCACAGAAGUCAUGAAUAAUUAUCAAAUUCAAAGAUAAAGAAAAACCACACAAUUUACAAGAGGAAAGAAAAUGAAGGGAUAAAGAAAGUAAGAAAGGAAUACCUCUAUGGGAGGACUCUUAUUUGCUUCAGAUGCCUACAAUAUUCAUCAUAUAAACACUGAUUAAGUAGUCAUCGAAAACCAAAACAAAUGUCGAACAUAGGGUGAAAAACAGAAAGAAUAACCGCAGCUCAUCAUACCAAUAGAGAUAGAACUGCCCGAUGCCCAAGUAUGACUGAAAAAUGGCAAUCCAAACAUGGCGCCUUCUAGCUCAUCAAACUGUCAAAACCUAGGUUCCACCAAAAAGAUACAAGUCACCUAGUUACUUGUAAAAUAAAAAUCUGUUUCAAAAUAGUGGAAAAUAUUAUUAACAUUGUUCAAAGUCCACAUUGUUGUACCUACCAAGAAACAAGAAGGAUUGUAUCUUAUCAUGAAAAAGAACAUAGGUACCUUUUCAAUUGUAAUUGUACAAAAAUGAGAGACCACUUCCGAACUUCUCUUGGAACUUCAAUCAAUUUCUGCCCACUUUUAAAUGCCUUGACAUACUUAAGCCUAUUUCUUUGAGCUUCAGUUUUGGCUUCUGAUGCCUUUAAAUUUCUUAAAGAUUCUUACCAAGUUUUACAAACUCACUUCUAUACAACCAUUUGUCAGUAUACAUACCAUUUUCUUUGAGCUUCAGUCUUUGCAACACCAAAACCCCCCAAAUAGACCCGGAAUUUUGCAAUGUGCAGGGAAUAUACAAAAAAAACCCUCCUAUCCAUCUAAAACGAAAUCAGAACGCAAACCACAAUCAAAAUCCGUAAAAUUAAUUUAGCCAACCCCUAAAUCUAAUAAUUCUAACAAAUAUUAUAGUAUCAAUUGAGAGAGAAUUUGAGAAGAUACCUAGAGAUGAAAGGAAGAGCGUUUCCUCUGAUAGGGGUUCCGUGAAAGCAUCUGUUGACCAGAAAAGAAAAGGCAAAAAACCCCAAAUUACAUAUCAAGCAAUUAUAGAUAGAUCGAACCUUGAAAAUUGAAAUUUCAAACAAGAGAAAGGUUAUAAACUUACAACGAUCUGGGUGUUGGUAACUGGGUUUGGAUUUGGGUUUCUGAUAAGAGAGAGAAUCGUAUGAGGAACCGAUAGAGGAACUGCACCGGCAACAGAGAGCAAUUGAUAUGGUGGAGAACAGACGAGAAUAGCUGCUUGGAUGGUCAAUCCAAGAAGAGAAAAUCUUGCCACAAUCGCGGUACUUGAAAAAAAAAAAAACAAGUUUAAAGGAGGGAAACAAUCGCGCCUUUUUCUAAUAGACUCUGUCGACGAUAUUCUUGACAAAUAGAUGCUUCGUCGGGUGAGCUUAUUUUUCACAACAUUUUAUUUAGGAUUGGGUUCGGUUGGUAAACCGUGUCAAAUUUCUUGUGCCACUUGCCAGCCACAUAUACAUAAUUACCGAAAAUCAGUUACCGUUAGCCAACCGUCUUCUUGCGGUUGCCAAAAAUCGGUUCAGCCAAAAUGAUUGGCUGGUUCGGUUGGUAAAUGGCACAACCGGUGGUUUCCACUUCUUCCUCGCUAUCUUCCAGUUCCAAGGGCUCAAUUUGAUUUUCAGAUUGGGAUGCUUGUUCGGUUGCAUUGUGUGGUUCAUUUUGGGUUAAUCCAUGUUGUGCACUAGUAGUUGAUUGGCUAGACUCCAUUAUCCUAAACAUAAGCAACAAAUAUACAUUCAAAAUAAUAUAUAUGUACGUGUAUAUAUAGUAUCAGUAAUCAUCAUGCUAUCAAUUUUGUUAACAAUAUUUUCUAUAUAUUGAUUUUGGCAUGAAUCAUAUACACAUACAUAUAUUUUUAAAACCCUAAAACUAAGGAGUCAUUUAUUUUCUAAACUCUAAAAUUGAGGAGUCAAGCAUGUAAAAAAAUACUUAAAAUAUCUAAAUAGAAAAAGAAAAAGAAAAAAAAAUAAAUAUAUAUAUAUAUCGGUAGGUAUGGCAUACCGCCGGCAUACAAAAUCAAUUACCAAAGCCAUGCCAUUAAUUGUCGGUUCGGUAAAAUGCCAACCGAUUAUGAAAAAAUGUCAAAACUAUACCAUACCAUUUUGAGCCAACCAGUAUGGUUUGGUCAGUAAAUCGGUUUAUGGCAAAAUUUCUCACCCCUAAUUUUAUUUGUCACCUUAAACCUAUUGGUUUCUAGCCUACAAUUCGGAUAUUUUGUUGGGGAAAGAUUUUUGUACCAAUAAAAUUUUGCUUUGUCGGCAAAAUGACAUUUUCUAGUAGUUAUAAUAUUAGGUAGAUCAAAUUUGUAAACUAUGUGAUGUGUCACUAAUAGGAAAAAAUUUCAGUGUGCUGAAAAUACGGUCUAGAACACCAAGUGUCAUAAUAUAUACUUGGUUGGAAAUCUUUUAUUUUCAAGUUUCCAACUAGUUGUAUUGUAACAGUUGGUGUUCCAAGCUAUUUUCUCCAUGCGCUGGAAAAUCUCUUCACUAAUUAAAAAUAAACAUAUUAAUUAACACUUAAGUAAUAAUCAAAGCAUCAACAACUACGUCAUAGAAUUUACGAAAUAUGAUCUUAAUUAAUGAUCUCCAUUACCCUUUAUCUUAGCGUAUACGUACGCCUUCACAUGUUUAUUUGCUGAUAUGCAGCUUGAGUAAAAAUUUCUUUUUAAGAACAUAUAUGUGAAUAUAAACAUAUAUAUCUAGUGAUCCAUGUUGCGUUAUUUAAAAAUAAACAAAUUAAUUAAUUAAUGAACUGUGUACCUGUCUGUGUAGAGUAAUCCAUAUGCAUGCUUGAAUCCUGAUCACCACGAAACCAUAAUAUAAGCUACUCAAGGCCCGGAAGCUAGGAUUGAAGAGAAAAACACCCAGUCAGAUUAAGCCAAUACAUCAAAGUUAAUACUUCCAAAUGUAAGCUUUAAGAUAGAAAAAUCACUUACUUCCUUGAGCAGUCGAGCUUCUUCAAUGGCAUGAAGCUUUUAGCAUGAGAUUGACUGCAUCACAACUAAAAUUUUCUCUUGGAAACUACAUAAGGAAUAGCAUGUAUACCUAUAACGUUGAGAAAGUACGCCAAUUUUUUCCUUCUGCACAUUCAUGUUUAAAAGUAAUCCUCAAAUGAACUUGCCCACAAUGAAAUGCAAUUUGAGGUAGUCGAGUGUGUUCCAUUUCCAUCCCAUCGGAAUUACUACUAAACUUUGAGAUGGUAGAGGAUUCAUGAAAUUUUUUACUUUUGAAAUAGUCUCCUUAGCAUUUCUCGACUAUAACAAUGAGGAAAUACUUCACCUUGUAUCAAACAAGGGAGACCGAAAAUCAACUACUAAUAGCAUCACAGAGCCAGCAGAAGAUUGAGGAGGCCAUGAAAAGGAAAGAGAAAAUACACUCUUUUUUUGUAAGGACAGAGAUAAUACAUUCAAUAAAGGGUACUGAUGUUUAUAUGCAAAGCUGAUUAGGUUUAAAUAGUCGUAUUUAUUCUGUACAGUGCCAAUAUUACCACCCGUUAGUACACUUUCAAGACACUGUAAUCCAGUGUAUGCACUAUGCAGUACGUAGUACUCCUCAUUUUUUUGGGGAAAUUCAUUAUUGGUCUUCAUAUCUUCUUUAUUUUCCUUGUCCUCAUUGUGCCACGUGUUUAAAUCACUAAUUAUAGGUAAUCUUUCAAUUUAAUUAAAUCUUAUGUAAAAAAAGAUAAUUAAAUAUCAUUUAGUAUUACAAUAUAGUGAUAUUCCUCUUUAGUAUAAAAUUUUUAUAAUUAAAAGCGUUCAGCUUUUUAAUCUUCAUUGGAAUAUUAUCUAUAAAGAAAAAUUAUUCGAAUCAGAGAUCAUUUAUGCAUUCAAAUGUAUAAAAUACAUCGACAGUGUGAGAACCAACUAAUAUAUUUUUGAUGAAGUACAAUUAUUGAAUACAUUUGAACGAUCAAAUGAUAUAUGAUUCAAAAUACAUAUUAAGAUAAUAAAUAUAAAAGAAUUGUUAUUUGCACUUCAAGAAUCUCAUUCUACACUCUAAAUUUUCUAUAUAUUAAAAGAAAAAUAAAUUUGUGAAAAGUGUAGAAUGAGGUUUUUUUAAAUGCUAAUAACACUUCUCUAAAUACAAUUAUGAAAUUAAUUAAGUAAAGAUACAUGACCUCGUGAAUGAUGAAUGUAUUAUUCAAAAAAAUAUUAAAAACAAAUUGAAAAAGGACGCUGUUGUUGCCACCACUUAUGCAAUGAUCGUCGCUGCCAUCACCAACCCCCAACACCCCAUUACAGCUCAUAAAAGCACAUCAUAAGCAAUUUAUGAAAUAAAUUUACUGGAAUACUAAUUUCCCCCUUAGUUUAGGUCACCAAUGUUUAAAUUUAGGGAUCGUGAUAUCCACACACAUUUUUUACUUCUUUCACACUUUUUUUUUCGGUUGUCGGAUCAGAUGAAUUGAAGAAAAUCAAUGAACAGAAAUUAACAAGGGGUGUGUGAGAAGUAAAAAUGAAUGUGUGGAUAACACACCCCUAAAUUUAUCACAACUUUCAUUCCAAAUUUAAUUUUUAUCCGUAGUUUUGUUUGUUCAAAUUUACUUUGACAUUUCCAUUAGUAUUAAAAUCUAAUUUAAAUUUUAGUGUUCAAGCUAGAAAAAGUGUUCCAUUUAAUAUUUAAUCUCAGUUUUUCUCUUUAUUCUUUUAUUGGGAUUUGGUUGCAUCGUAUCUCCAUUUUUCUCGGUGUUGUAUGUUCAUAAGGCCUGUGAAACGUUGGCACGGAGUGAAGGGUACUCACUUUUUGGCCCAAAAUGCAUAAGGCAUGUAGAUAUGUUAAUCAAAUUUUGUAAACUAAAGGAUAUAGAAGUUGAUAAUUAGAUUAUAAUUUAAGAUAAUACUAAGGAGACUAAAUUUGCAAACUAAAUGAUGUGUCACCAAUAAAAAUAAGCACGUUUAUCAACAAUUAAGUAAUAAAUCAAUCAUCAACUUUCAUGUCCUUUAGUUUCCAAGAUUUAAUAUACAAAUUUAGUCUCCCAAGCAUUACUCUAUUACUUAAGUAUUGAUUAACAGACUUAUUUCUUAUGGUGACACAUUAUUUAGUUUACAAUUUUAGUCUACCCAACAUUACUCUUUUGAAAUUGUCUUGUCCACUGAUAUAAUUCUAUUUUUCUUGUGAUCAAAACUUCAAAUGUUAGCAAGUCGCACGUAAAGUCGCUUAUGAGAGAAUGUGCUCACAUUGUAGUUGAAAGAUUAUGUGGCUAGCAACAUUACAAAUUUAAUUUGGUAUAAUUCUAAAAUAUAGAUUGAGGAAAAAAUGAUCACAUUAACUAGAAACUGAAAAGGUUUCAGCACAGUUUGUUCAAGCAAGAAAUUCAAUUUUGAUGCUACCGAUCUUAACAGCCUGAGCGCCGUACCUGGGCACCAAAGUCACCACCACACUCUCAUCAUCUUCAGCACCCAAAUCCUCCAACAGGUCCGUUAACCCCAACCUUAAACAACUCUUGCUCUUUUCCUUCUGCUUAUGUGGCACACUCACAAAACUCCCAGCAAACUCGCUCUUGUCGGGUCCACUCGGUGCCGCAUCCUCAUCGUCCACGUCAUUCACAUACACACAUCAAACUUCACAGCCACAUCUUUGUCAAGCUCAAUCCCCUGAAUCACCAAUAUCUCCUCCUCAUCCUCUUUCUCCUUCUUGCUCCUCUUCUUCGGCUUCGGCCUUGACACCACCGUACUUAUCUUCGUCUCCAAAUUUAUU
rnacentral:lncRNA from 1 species